rnacentral:lncRNA from 1 species
AAUAAUGAAAUCCACCCAUGAUCAUACAAUUGAAAACCACUAAAAUAUAUGAAGGUAAUAUGUCAUUACAAGCUCCUUAAAUUAAAAUAAAAUAUGUCCAAUAACAAGCAAAUCUAACUGAAAUAGAAGAAAUAUUACUCCUAAACUGAGACUGAAAAGUAGAAGUUUCUUCCAAAGUACCAAUAAUGUGGUGAUACUUAGUUUGCAUUAGUCUUGAUUCAAUUCUCACCUUUUAUACCUGUGUAAAAAAGAGAAAACAAAUUUAUAAGAUUUAAUAUAAAGUAGAAUUUGCAACAUUACAUUAUGUUUUUCAUACAUUGUAAUGCCAAGUUUCUGCAAAGAUAAAUCAAUCAUACAUAAUAUGAAGCUACACAUAUAUACGAACUAUAUCCCCACUGCUAUUUGUGGUGUGCAUGAAGUACAUCACAAGGAAACCAUAUCCCCACUGCUAUUUGUGGUGUGCAUGAAGUACAUCACAAGGCGUUGAUGCUAUGGGUGGCUGAAACUGAAAUACUUUGUUUUGCAGAUAAACAUGCUCAUAUUUUGCAAAGGGAAUAUAACAUAUGUGUUAAUGCCAAUAAGAUCAGGAAUAAAAACAUUCUCAGAGGUCACAUGGCUCACUACAAAUGCUACAAAGUUUAAUGUUUAUACUUCCAUCAUGGGGAAACAAGAGGUAAAUGCUAUAUGUUAAUUGUCUGAAUACGUCAGAGGUAACCACCAAUUAAAUACCUGGGCAUUCCCAUCACUUCUAGAACACUAAAUGCUAUAGAUUGCAAUGUGUUAGUAGGAAAAAUGACAGCCAAGGUGAAAAUUUGAGGCUUGAGGAACCUGUGUUUCCCUAGUAGGCUUCAACUGGUCAAUACCAUGCUGCUGCAUAUACAUGUAUACUGGUCUAUUAUUUUCUCACUGCCUAAACAGGUGUUGAAAGAUAAAAAGCUGUUUGCAGGAAAAAUACACUCCAACAAACAAAAUUCAUGGGCUGAACUGAUCACAAUAAGUAACUUUCAAUAAUUUUCUUCAAUCUAUGCCUAAAAUAUCAAGCAAUGCCCUCACAUUAAGUCACCAAUCCUUCAAUACUUGGGGGUUCAAAGAAUAAAAGAAAUUGCAAUCCAUAAAGUCAUCAGAUACCAAGCAAAUAAUCAAAUUUCACCAACCAAAAGGUCUGUUAAGCUUAUUUAUAUCAUAUCCACAGUUUUCCUUCCACAACCUCCAUAAGAAACCAAUUUUCAAACAUUGAAACAAAUUAAAAACCAGAAAUUGAAGAAAAGCAAUUCUUAUCAAUUUAGGAAGACGAAAUCUGAAAGGUAGGUCGAAACAAAUUGAGUAAUAUGCAGCAGAAUUGGCGAUAAGGGUAUUCCCAAUUUUCUGGAAAAUGGGAUAAAAUUACAAUGGAGUUGUGAAUAGGAAAUAUUACAAGAAUGGCAAAUUAUAGAUUUUCAGAAUUUGAAUUUGGUACCUUAUUAGAAUUUCUCCUUUCAUGGGAUAUAGUAUGCAAGGGAAAAAAAAAAGGACGACUUGGGAUCACUGAUUGUGUGUUAUGGAUGAAGCUGUAGCAAGAAAGUAUGUCUGGAAUAUAGCCAACAAAGUUGAUAACCUAUGAGUAAAAUGAAUGAACAAUGUGUAUAAAGGGGGCUGACUGAUGGAUAUAUACACGUAAAUAAGACAAUUGCUAGUACUAGAAGAAGAUUUGAGGUAUGAAGAACAGAUGUAGUGUUGGAUACUGUGGAAAUGGAUGAUUCAAGGCAUGAGGAAAAUACACAAUUAUAAAAUAACAAUUAUUUUGGACUAUCUAUUUUUAGCAAAUUCGACAAGUGAAGUGGUUCGGAUGGAGUAUCUUUUCUUAAAUGUCAGCAUAGUAUUUAAUUUAUGAAUGUGUUGCAGGCAAUGUGGGAAACCAUUCAAGCCAGAGAAACUUCAUGCCCACAUGAAGUCCUGCAAAGGGAUGAAAGCUCUGUGAAAGGGUGCUCAUUCUGCUGCUUCUACUAACAAGACAUCCAAGGAUGCACCAAAUUUUUUUUUUAUAAUUAUUCUUAUUCAGCUUUUAUUGGAAUUAGAUUAUGUUUUUUUUUAGAACUUUUGGAGAAGCCUUCCAUGUAUAUUUUUGAGUAAGAAGGUUCACAGACAAAAGCCUAAGCAAUUCAUGAAUUCACAAGUAGUUAAAAGCCUGAUUUCCAUCUUAAUCUCAAGUAUUACAUCGUGCGAAUCUGAGUUAGUUGCGGCAGUGUACAACAUGGAUACAAGAUUAAACAGGCAAAAAUAACAAGACAGGCAAACUUUUGAUGAUAAAAAUAUCUGAUUUAAGUUUUUCUUUCGCCAGUUUAAUGAAGAUAAAUUAUUCUUUACAUUUGGAUACUGAAGCAGUAUUUCAUGUCUACUCCUCUCUAAAUAUCUUAGAGCCUAAUCAACUGUUAAUGACCAUAUUCAGGUCAUUGCAACAUACCUAAUCUAAUAGCAUUUGUAACAAACAAUCGAAUUUCCAGGCAGUUAGUAGUCAAUAGCUAAGAUCAUAGCUGAUUACUUGCCUCCAAAAAUCGAGGAGUCAACAUGAUCGAGCAAAAACCUAUAUAACUUGUAUAUAAGCCUUUGAUAACAUACACUCGAAGAAGACUGUUAGUAGGUACAAUUGGAGGCUAGGAACUGGACCACAACUGACAUGGGGGAGACCAAUCUGAAAUACUUGCAACAUCCCAAAACACGACUUCAUCUAUUGGCUGGCUAUACAUGGAAGACUACUAACUAGAGAGAGGCUAUACAAGAUAGGACUAACAAAAGACAGAACUUGAACACUAUGUGGGAAUGCCAACAUCACACAUCACUUCUUCGAGUGUGUGAUAUCAAAGGCUUGUAUACAAGAAAUAACGCACCGAUUGAAGUUCACAUGUGGGAGCAUAGACAUAAAGGAAGCUGAAAAUUAAUAGCACGAAGAGCGCAAGGCAAAGUUAUGAAGCUGAAAAUUAAUAGCACAAAGAGCGCAAGGCAAAGUUAGCAGGCAAUUGGUAUGGGCAAUCCUGACAGUUGCAAUAUUACACAUAUCGGAAGCUAGGAAUGAAGCAUUAUGGAAACAUAACACCUUACUGAAGUAUUUCAGUAAGCAUAACACAUUACCGAUUCUUUCUAAAGCCCGGACAAUCACCUGCCAAAUUCUACAACUGUGUUUCUUGUACUUCUUUAACUAUCUCUCCCUAACACAUUCCUUGCCUCGUGCAACGUGGAUCUAUACUGAGCGUCAUCAUUCCCUUAAAUCGGCCUCUUCUUUUCCUAAGUUUAUGUUAUUGUAAAUCAUACCAGCUAAAGUAAGCUUAAGAGUUAUAUGAGUCUUACCUUUUACUAAAUAAAUAGGAAAAUACACAACACCUUCUGUCUAGCAAGUAUGAAAGCUGGAAUAUAUUUUAGGAGUAAGAGGAAGCAGAAAAGAGAAAAAACAAAGGACAACAAGUUGAAAGUUGGUUGAACUUCUGAGCACAAUGAACUUUUUCCUCAUCAGAAUGGUAUUUCAUUCAAUUCAAAUUAUGUGUAUUACUUUUCUUUUUGAUUGUUUCAAAAGUAGCUAUAUUGAAAAGAAACUAUGUUGCUUCUAUGUGGUACUGGAAUUCCUUAAUACUACAAAUCUUUGAUAUCAAGAAUUAAGAAAAUUUAGACCAAACCAUCACUGAAUGACUAAAUACACCAAAAGCAAGGAGUAAGACACUGAGAAGGAUAAUAAUUAUAGUUUUACAAGUUUAUAUCCUACUCCCAUGGUCUUAAAAUCUACAAAUUUUUGUGAUAAGAAGGAAUUUUUCUCUUUUAUCUAUACAUAGGUAUUGGCAAUGAUUCCCCCUCUAUAAAGGUAGUAUAGCAUUUUCUACACUCUAUCCAAUAAGCUUAGAAAGCAGCUAAAGUGUAAAGUAUAGGCCAUGUUUCAUACUUUUAAGUUGGAGAAAUAAAAAUAAAAAUAUACCUUGAGUUGACAUUUUGAUGGAUCUCAAUCUUUGCUGCAUCAUAAAGAAAAAUAUGCAAAGUUAGAUACUAAAUGCUACAUAUUUAUAUAUUUAAUAUAAACAAAUUAAAAAAUACACAUCAUAUACAUUUGAGUUACUUCUAACCUUGGUGGCGAUGAGCGAGAAAGAAGUUGCAUUUUACUAAACAUUUCCUCUUGGCGUGCCACUAUAGUAUUCAAUUGAGAAUUUAAUGAUUGUAUUUGAGAUUGCUGGUCUUGUAUUUGAGAUUGUUGAUUAUCUACCACAGUUUCAACUGUAUUUAAUCGAUUCUGUAAUUCAAGUUGGGCACUAACAACUUCUUGUUUCCCCUUUUUGAGGGAGUCUUCUAACUCUGCCAUUCUCCUUUGUGUAGAUCUUGUAGUAUUAGGUUUUGGACCAUAACCAAGUCCUUUUAUGUACCCCGAUUUUGUACCAAGUAUAGUAUCCAUAAUUUCAUCAAUAGUCAUGGAAGACUCUCCCGAUGUAUAUAGAUCUUUCAAAUCUGUCAUGUUGUUCUGCAUAAACAUAUUAGAAUAAUUUAAAGGAGAAUGCACAACUUUUGAAAAACAUUAAUCUAACAGAUCCAAUGAGAAUAUUAUAAAAGAUGAAAAGUAAUUUCUUACAUAGUGAGUCUCAGCCUCUAAAGAUGACCAUCCUUUCUCACUCGUGUAAUGAGUAUGCUUAUAGAACUCGAUUCUUUCAGGCUCUACUCCUUCAGGGUUAGUUUUACCCUGUGAAAUAAGAAACAAUUGAAAUAAUACUAAAGUUUCAUUAGUCAAAACAAUAAAAAUGGUAUAACUUACAAGUUCAGCACGAGCAUGCUCAUCCAAAUUAAUCUAAAACCUCUCCUAAAAAUCAAAUAAGUAUUAAAGAAAAACACAGAACGAGCAAAAUCCCUUUCAUAUUAAAUAAUAAUCAUUACAUUUGCAAACAUACUAAUUAACUUCAAACUUAAGUACCCUUUGUGAAUCAUAUAUUGCAGUUCAAAAACUUUAUUUACUCUCAUAAACAGUGUUCUAGACAGCCGAGCUACAUACAUAAUAUCACUCUUUUCUAUUUCCAGUAAGGUAAUGUCACGAAUUGAUAAGUUAAGGAUUGACUUUAUAUGACAAGGAAAUAACAAAAAUCAUGUAUUUCAUUUUCUCAAGAUCACUAUUCCAAAUACCUUGAAGGCUUAGGUAUUAGGAACCUGACAGGACAUAAUAGAAUCUGCUAAUGAAAUGGCUAUGGGGGUUCAAUAAUUAAGAUGGUGCUUUCUGGAAAAAAAUGUUUUUUUUGUAAAAAAUGAAAUACUAUCACACUUGUCCAUUGUUGUAUCAUAGCUCCAUAUGUUUUUGGUACAUGGAAGAGCAUGGCAAAACUAAGGAAUUAAUUUAACCAGCAAUGCAGCUGCAAACCAGGUAAUGACAUUCACUUUAAAUAUUGGGAGGAUAAAUGAUCAAAGAACACUACUCUCCUAAGUGACUUCCCUACUCUAUUCUCAAUAGCCUCUGAUCCAAACUCUAUUAUCUCCUAGAACAGAGAAAAUAAAUACAUGGAUGCAAUUGUCCAGAACAAAUUUUCAUGAUUGAAAGUUGCUACUAUUACUAUCAAAACUGGAAUGUUGCCCUCAAAAUAAUCACAGGCCAAAUAAAAUCAAAUGGUGUAGGAAGACAGAUGGACAAUACACAGUGAUGAAAGCAAGGAAUCUUCAUUAUGUGCUCGAAAUGAUAUAAUAGAUAACUGCCUUGAAAACUCAUUUGUAAGACCAAAGACCCUAGUCAUAUUUCAUCUGAAUAGUCCCUCAUGAGGCCAGUCUCACUCAGGACAACCUCAGGUGAAGGGGCAUGACAACAGUUAAUGAAUGUCUCAUGUGUCAAAAAGCUUAUGAGACUAACAGACACCUAUUCCUUCAUUGUCCAGUGACCACUAAUUUUUGAAAUUUAUUUUUUACUAUUUUUUAUUUGAGUUGAGUCAUGCCUGCUGAUUUAAAGGAUACCUACAAUAGUUAGAACUCUUAAAAAGUUGAUAAAUCCAAAAGUUUGGAAACUGAUCCUUGUAUUUUUUGGUGUGUGUGGAAAGAGAGAAACAAAAGGUGCUUUAAUGGAAUAUCAACUUCAAUCUACAACUUAAGAUCAAUUAUGUUUUAACUUUAUAUUGUUAGACUAUGGUUAGAUCCGUUAGACUCUAAUGUCAAUCUUUUGGACUUUGUAAACUCUUUAGUCCUAGCAUAGGAUACUUUUAAAUGAGCUUACAAUCUCACUACUUGUGUAUCUAUAUUACUUGAAUCUUUUUUAUGCCAUUUAUCCCAUUUCUUACUUUAUCAAGAAAAUGUAGUUCAUUUCUGUGUACUCUUGAGCCAUAUGAAAUAAGAUUUUACACUACUAAACAGUGUCGAAGCAAGCAUCAAAAUGGUCUAAGGAGUUGGAGUAGGCACAAACAAAUGCUUAAGGCAAAACCUGUACAGUUCCAAACUAUAGAAGUAUUGAUCCUCUAGUUGUUAUCUUCUUUAGAUGACCCCUUAGAAAUUUUUUAGGAAGGAAGCUUGAAUGAUUGUAUACAACUAGUUGUUUUCUUCCUUAUCAAGUAGUGUAUAUGAUGCAUAGAUAGUUUAUUUUAUAGUUUGUUAGUUAUUCCUAAUAAAAUUCUUGUUAUUUUUUUUUUUAUAAAAAUAGGAAAUAAGACAAAAGAUACCAUUAGUUAACUUACUAUUAGAUAUCGACGGAGAUACAUAUAGCCGAGUAGUUCUCCAAAAAAACAAGAUGAAUGAAAAAUAGCAAUACCCAAAAAAAGAACUCAAUAUAAUCACUACCAUGAAAUAAAUUUACAAGAGUAUAGAAUCCUUAUAUGGCAUCUAAUUAGUGUUGCAUCUUUGUCCUCUCUUGUGAGUUCUUUCCACUUGUUUAGAAGCAAAAGAAAAUUUCGAGCAAUUAUCCCUAGCUCAUUGGAUAGUUUUGCCGAUUGAUCUGGUUUAGUUGGGCCUUCCUUUACCAACUGGGAUCUCUAUUUUCAUCUUUCUUCCUUGAGCCUUCUUCAUUUUUUCAAGACCUUUCCCUCUAGUCUUGCCACGACCAUUCCUGAUUCUAGUGGAAUCAUCUGAUGAAAAAAGUCAGUUCAAAAUACAACCUAUAAUCUUAAAAACAUACACGUGUGACAGUAAGGCACAUGAUGAAAACUAAAACAACUGCAUUUUUUAAAUUUAUUGUAUAUUAAUGAGCAACUGAGUCAAAAAAUUCACCGAUAAAACAAAGAGAACAUACGAGAGCUAACAACAUCUAUUUUUAUCAUUUCUAUCAUGUUUGCUGAUUAUAUGUUCGCCCAUAUUACAUAAAUGUUGUUGGAUUUCAAAGAUGUAGAUUACAACAACUACAUAUUCAGAAAAAGGUUCAAAUUGUGCAUAUUGAUAGAGUAGGUAACUUUACAUACCUAAUUUUUAUGCCAUGAUGAGCAAAGGAGAGUUAGCCAAACAUAAACCAAGUCUAAAUAGAAAUGCUUAUAUGUAAUCUAUGGAAGCAUUUUCAACUUCUUAGAGUCAAUUUGUGUAGUUUAUAUAGCAUAUUGAUAAAGUAAAAUCAAUUGCAAUUGCUCAUACAAACAACCAAUGACUUUCAUGUUAUGAAAAAUGCACCUAAGAUUAUGGAUGAUGUGAUGAAACACUUCUUUUAAAAUGUUAAUAUAUCAUAGAUAACUUUAAGAUUUAAAUCCACAAAUCUUGAGUUGAUGAUUGAAUUACAAAAAUAACAGCCAAGAUCAUCAUAAGAAUCAUUCGAGUAACUCGGAAGUACAUGUAAAAGAGGAUAUUAAAUUAAAGAAGAUAACAGAAAGGACAAAACAAACCUGCAUAAAUAACCUGCAUACAAUAGCACAAUAUCAGAUACUCGGAUAUUGAGCUAUCGUCCAUAUUUCACGUAACAAGUUUAACAUAAAUAAAAAUUUCAAUGGUUAAUGUUUUUGGCUCCAACUUAGUCAAUAACUAAAUAAAUUAAUCCUAAUUAGUAUAAUAAAAUGUAUUACUUGUAUUCACAGCAGGAGUAUGGUUAUUUGAUUCAUCUAGUGAUUGAGUAUCUUGGCUUGUUUCCCCUGUAAGUGUAGUUUGCUUAAAAACACAUCCACCCGGUGCCAUCAAUUUGCAGAAUUCUAUCAAAACAGAAAAUGUAAGUUUAGAAUGUUAAUAAGAUAUAAAAUCCAAUGGUUUAACAAAAAUAUUUAUGUAAAAGCACCAAUCAUUGACAACUAAAGGAAAAUCUAAAAAGAACAUAAUCAUUACUUCAGAAAAUCUUGCACACGCCAUUUAUCAAUAUAUAAGAGUUUACUGUCUAUCGAACUAUUGAAGAAUCUCUAGAAAAUCAAAUAACUAGUUUAACAUAUCAAAGAUAUAUUUAUGCCGGAAAUAUGUUCAAAUUUGAAGACACAAUAACUUUUUCGAAAGCUUAUAUAAGAGAAGGUCUUAAGAAGAGGUUGUAGAUCUAAAAAAUGUUGAACCUCGUGAAGAAAUGCCUAUUGAUUUUAGCAAAAAGUUUAAUUGUCCUACAAAAUAUUCAUCUCAAAUGAUGUUGUUUCAGUUCAUCCAAAUUCAAAGUUCCAUCAACCUAUCCUAACUCAAGUUCAAGAAGCAUAAUUUGACAGCCUUGAGUACCAUGUUUCACAAUCCAUCCUAUCUUCCUUCGAAAUCUGAGGGAGAACAUCAAUAAAUGAACAAACCAGAGGAAAAGUUGUUCCAAAAGAAGUCUUGAAUAGUGUAUACUUCACUAGUAUGUUUCACACACAAACUGUAAAUACGCACACCACACGAAACUGAAAUCUACAUGAUAGGUUAAGAGUGUUUGUUUUCCAAAAACUUAUAAUUAACUAUAUGAAAUAAACAUAGAGCAAGAUCAAUGGUUGCUUCACAAUAAUCAAUGAAUAAUCAUUCAAUAUAUGAUUGCCACAUAUAACUAUCUGUCUAAUUUUGUUCAAACUUAAAAUAAGACUGAUACAUACCUGGUCUUGUCAGGUUCAGAAACUUUGCUUCACAUUGUAAUUGAAACUUUUCCGUCUGUUUUCUCAUAUAUAUGGUGGUUAUCCUGAAAUUCUUUUGGAGCCAAAAGAACAAAAAAAAUUAGGGCCAAAAGACAGUUUUUUUCCAUUUCUCAGCUUUCUAUAACUUUAUUUGGUGGGUGAACAUGAAGAAGUGAAAGAAGUAGUGGAGCUUAUUAACCCAGAAACUUAGGAAGUGGAGAAGUGUGUGGUCAACUUUUUGUUUUAGGAUUUAACAUUUAUCUUUUCCUCCACUUAAUAUUUUAAAAUAAAAUUACACACAAAAGGACAUAAUGUCGAUCAAUACUUUAGAAAAAAUAAAAUUGCACACACAAAAAGGCAUAAAUGUCCAACAAUUUUAUUUAUCAAAAUAAAUUUUGAAGGUAAAUUCUUUAUGCUUAGAACUAAAAAGGAAAUCAGGAAAUGACUUCAGUUGAAUGGAAAAAGUAAAUUACUUAGAAUAAUAACAUUAGUAACAAAGGGAAAAACUACUGCAUACAUAUCAAAGAUCUCAAAAAAAAAUGUAAAAUCAAUGUCGAUUGGACUAACAAUUGUACCUCUUUUAGCUGAAACCCAAAACCCUAGGCCUUUUACUUCUGGUUGAUUAUCCUAAAAAACUUGAAUCGCUAGAGAACCCACUUCGGAAAUCAGGGAUCUAACUAAGAGCAACACGCUCGAGCACUUUUUGGUCUUCAGUCAGCUGCGAUUCUGUUGCUAAACAAACAAACCAUAGCAAGAGAGAUAGUGAAGACAUCGAUGAUGAUUUUGAGCUAACAUGCAAAGCUCCAAACCUCUGAAAUCGAAUCUGUAGUAGCUCUACAUCAGAGAUAAUGAACUCUUCGAAUGGAUCAAUUUGUGUACUUCGAAAAUAAAGAAUAGUUGAGCUAGUAAAAUUAGGGGAGAAGAAAACAAUUAGGGGAGAAGAAAGGAGAUGAAGUGGCUGGGUAGAGAAGAUGGGAGCUGAAGAGUUUCCAUAACUUUCCUAAUUUCCUAAUUAAUUAUCAUCUAAUGAAAUUUCACUUCUCUUUGAAUUUUGGGCCUAUAUUGGGCAAUGUUUUUGUUUUGUUUUCUUGAGAUUGGUACGACACACAUUAUAUAUAUAUAUAUAUAUAUAUAUAUAUAUAUAUAUAUAUAUAUAUAUAUAUAUAUAUAUAUAUAUAUAUAUAUAUAUAUAUAUAUAUAUAUAUAUAUAUAUAUAUAUAUAUAUAUAUAUAUAUAUAUAUAUAUAUAUAUAUAUAUAUAUAUAUAUAUAUAUAUAUAUAUAUAUCUGUUUUGUGGUUUAAAGUCCUAUAUUUUGCUAACAAGCAAGGGACACUCCCUUAAACUGUUUUACUUUUUUUUUUCUAAUUUAAGAGUUUCUUAAUAAAUACUCUUAAAUAUAUUUAAGUAAAAUAAAUAACAUAUUCUAAUAUUCUUUUCUUAAAAAAGGCACAAGAGCGUAGCGAGCACAAACAAAGGAAAUACACAUGGGUCUCCUUGAAGAACGGUAGCACGCUUCUUUCUCAUAUCGAUCAAGGCUUUACUUGAGUAAGGGGAAAGAAGUAAGGGUGUAGCCCUUGCGUGAAAGUCGUUGCACCUUAGCGCAUCCCUUUUCUUGCAGGACUGUUAACGACAACCUUAUGUGUAUUCUAUGUUUAGCUACAUUACCAACUGUCAAUUCUUGUUCAACUCCCUAACAGAAGCAGCAGCAACGCUGCAACUACAGCGAUCAAAAGAAAAAAAAGGACUUUUCUUGUUCUAUAGUGAGCGAACGAACGAAUGAGAAACAUAAAUUUAAAUUGAAAGUCUUGGCUCUCAAACUAAAGAGAGAGGUGGAAGAAGAAGAAGAACGAGAAGAAGGUAAGUUUCUUAACUUAGUCUAAAGGUUGAAUUUGUAUCUUCCAUGACUAUAAGAUUGGGAAUUGGGAAGUAGAGAAACAUGGGUUUAGAAGAAAAAUAGGAAAUUUAUUUCAUUCUUAUGAACCAAGUGAAUAUAGUCAAUGAUUUGAACUGUAAACUUUGCUAUUGGGCUUAUAUGCAAUAAGAGUAAUUGGGUAGUAAGGUUAGGUUGAUCUUUUUACAGCAAGAAUUGACCAAGAAGAGACUAAUGUGUGUGAUUAAAGCACUAAUUAAGUGAUUGGGCAGAUUUCGAAUCAACCAUGAAAUCUCUAGGGCUGGGUUUUUUUAAAAUGUAGUAUGAAUUACCUAAAUGAAGGAGUUAAAACGAAUUUAUUAUGAACGUGAUUAUAGAUUGACCAAAGGAAUUCAUACGGAGUAAUCUAUUGGGCUUAUAUGCAAUAAGAGUAAUUGGGUAGUAAGGUUAGGUUGAUCUUUUUACAGCAAGAAUUGACCAAGAAGAGACUAAUGUGUGUGAUUAAAGCACUAAUUAAGUGAUUGGGCAGAUUUCGAAUCAACCAUGAAAUCUCUAGGGCUUGGGUUUUUUUAAAAUGUAGUAUGAAUUACCUAAAUGAAGGAGUUAAAACGAAUUUAUUAUGAACGUGAUUAUAGAUUGACCAAAGGAAUUCGUACGGAGUAAUCGAGUGGCAAGCUUGGUAACUCAACACAAGUUACUGUGAGUAGUAAUCUUACCGCAAUUGAUGUUUUAUAACUUGCAUGACUUUCACAUGGUGUAUAAAGUAAAGGCGUUACCGAAUGUUUUAAACUUGCAUGUGGGACAAGUCUUUUACUGGAUAUGAUACACCAUGAAAUCUCUAGGGCUGGGUUUUUUUAAAAUGUAGUAUGAAUUACCUAAAUGAAGGAGUUAAAACGAAUUUAUUAUGAACGUGAUUAUAGAUUGACCAAAGGAAUUCGUACGGAGUAAUCGAGUGGCAAGCUUGGUAACUCAACACAAGUACUGUGAGUAGUAAUCUUACCGCAAUUGAUGUUUUAUAACUUGCAUGACUUUCACAUGGUGUAUAAAGUAAAGGCGUUACCGAAUGUUUUAAACUUGCAUGUGGGACAAGUCUUUUACUGGAUAUGAUACUGAAAAGAUCAUUUGAGAUGAACUCAUUCUUACAAGAUAUGAUUACUGAUAUUGAAAAGGUUUUACACUUAUUUGAGAAAUAACAUUUUGACAAGUGAUUGUUAAACUUUGAAAUGUUCUGAUUUGAUAAGAUAUAAAUGUUCUAUCUGAUUUUGAAAUGCUUCUACAAAUUAUAAGAAAAGUAUAAAUGGGAGUAGACCUUGAUGAAUCCCGUAGCUAACAGCAGGAUCGUUAGACCUGGUGCACCUUGUAGUUCCGAUUACUGAUAAAGCCCUUACUAGUGGGAAGGUAGAACUAGUAUACUGUUACUGAUACCCCUCGAGUAGGGAUCUACUGAUAUGAAUAAUUAACUCCUUAGAUGAGGAGUUCGCUGUUAUUGGUUACUUCUUAAAGAGAAGACCACAGUGAUUACAUGGUUCAUCCUUGGAAACCUCCCAGCUAUAAGAUUUGAUAUGAAAAUGUUCUUUUUCUGAGUUUGCUAUUAUGUAUGUACAUUGAUUUUGCUUAUAUGAGGCACCUAAGGUUGAACGUUGUUAUUGUUUCUAAAAGAGCAUUGUUUUAUCAUCAUGACUAUUACAGUAGCAUGUUUUUUGACUUGUCCCUCAUUAAAAUGGUUGUGGUUAAGUAUUAUUACUCACUGAGCUAGCGUCUCAGUCCUCACUAUUUUUUUUUACAGAGAAUUCAAGUGGUAUUGAAGAGGAUUUCAUUAACUAGCGUGUGAGUUGGUAGCAUAUGGUGAGCCCCACAUUGCUUCGCUUUGCAAGAGAACUAUUGAUUUGUUAUGUUUAUUUAGUUUCUUUUAAAAAAUCUUAGAGUCGCUCCAUUUGUCAUUCUUUUGAUUUGAGUCAAGAUUAGUCCUUCGAAUUGUAGUCAAGUGACUAGUUUGGAACUUUUUUCCGUAAUUUGGAGAUGAAUUGGUUUUAUUGAGUGACAAUUUGAUCAUUGAUGGAUAUUACAUGGUGGUUUAUAGUUGUUAUUAGUUGUGUUGUGAAAUUUUGAGACAGGAAAAAUCCAGGAUAGGCCUAAAAACAAAGGAAACUCUGCCCAAUUUUCUGUAGAAUUCUGGUGAGACAUGCUUUGGGAUUCUCCCCCUUAGCGCCGGUCAUGAUCCUUAAUUGGGUCGUGACAAAGUUGGUAUCAGAGCCCUAGGUUAUUCUGAUGACUUAUGGAGCACACGUUAGUAGUAGAAUCUCAAUUAUGGUUAUGUUGCCAGCCAUUUCUAUAAUCGUGAUUCUGCGAGGACGUGAUAGGAUGUGUCUUGUCUUUCUUUGUCAUUCCUAUUUAUGUGUGUGAUGUUUAGGGCCAACUAGAUUAAUCUAACAUUAUUCGUUUCUGAUAACCAGAUGGCUCGAACCCGAUUAUCUAAUGGCAGAGUUACAACAGGUGUUCCUGAGGCGCCUAAUGUCACUUCGGCUAGGCAGCCAACUUCCUCAACUUGGGGAAGGGACAGAGCCCGCAGAACCGAUCGAGGAGAGGUUCGUAAUGCUACCACAGGGAACCACAACACCACUAUUAGGACUUCAAGGGAGGUCACUCCGAAAAGGAGCGCUAGCCCACCUCCGACAUCGUUGGAGAAUGCUACUAAUGGGGUACUUGCCUCCAUGCAGAAAGCCAUAGAGAGUUUGGUCAAUAGACUGGAUAGACAGGAGAGGGAUGGUCAUCAUAAUGUUGCUGCUACUCAGACACAUGCACCACUUCAGACACAUGCACCACUUCAGACACCUGCACGGACUUAUACUUUUGGGAAUAAAGAGGUAUCCUUGCAGGAAUUCUUGAAAUUGAAAUCACCAAAAUUCACAGGUUCUGAUAGUUCAGCGGAUCCUCAAAGCUUCUUGGAUGGGACGUUCAAGGCCCUCGGGGCUCUAGGAUGUUCUAGUGAGAGAUCGGUGGAGCUAGCAGCAUACAAACUAGAGGACAUGGCUAACACUUGGUAUGAAAUUGUAUUGCUAGGUCGACCUACUGGGGCGGCACCACUGAAGUGGGAUGAAUUCACUAAGUUGUUCAUGGAUAAUUUCCUUCCUAACAGUCAGAGGCAGAAGUAUGCAACGCAGUUUGAGAGGUUGGAACAGACUCCAGAUGUGGAUGUGGCAACUUAUAAUGCCAAAUUCUGUAAGCUCGCUAGAUAUACUCCUUUGUUAGUACCUACUGAAGCAGAUAGAGUUCAGAGGUCCGUGCAUGGGUUGGUUAGUCGUCUAUUCAAUGCCCUAACCCCAAAUAUGAGUACCAUGACCUAUUCAGAAACAGUUGAUCUAGCUAGAAAGAUUGAAGAUAAGGGUCGAGAGGAGCGUGCAACCUAUGAUGUACGUAAGAAGGCCAAGAUAGGGGGAUCUUACAGCGGCGACUUGGGUGCAAAUCACAGAACAGAGAAUCAGGGAAGACAACAACAAGGCUCUCAGACACGGAUGGAUACAGUUUCAUCAGCACAGGUAUAUCGUAAUUUUGGAAAAAUGUAUGCCACUUCUCCAUCCUGCCAGACUUGUGGUAAAUCACAUGUAGGCCAGUGUUGUGUUGUCACCGAAGGUUGCUUUCGGUGUGGUCAGUUGGGGCAUCGCAUUAGGGAUUUCCCUCUACCUCCGAGAAACCCCACACAGACUUCUGCUCAGAUAGCAACACCUACUCAUACAACUCAUAAUGGUUCAGGUAAUACGGGUACAGGAAAUAGAGGUAGAGGUGUUGGAGAUCGUUUCACUGGAAAUCAAGGACAAGGGAAUGCCGAUAGAAGUCAGUCAAGAGUUUUUGCACUUACUAAACAGGAUGUUCAGGCCUCAAAUGCGGUGGUUACAUGUAUUCUUUCAGUUUGUUCCUUUGAUGCUCAUGCUUUGAUGGAUCCAGGAUCUACCCACUCCUAUAUGUCCUCAUACUUUGCUUUGGGAUUUGAUAGACAACCAGAGAUGUUGAAUCAUCCUUUUCUUGUUUCUACUCCUGUGGGGGAUUUUUUGUUAGUUGAAUAUGAGUAUCGUGAUUGUCAGAUAAGAGUUGAGGGUAGGGAUACUCUAGCUAACCUAAUUGUACUUAAUAUGAUUGGUUUUAAUGUGUUGAUGGGCAUGGAUUGGUUAUCUCCUUGCUAUGCUACUGUUGAUUGUCAUGCAAAGAUAGUCAAAUUUGAAAUACUUGAUGAGCCUACAUUUGUAUUAAAAGGGGGUCAAGUCCCCGAGGUUGGAAAAAUCAUAUCCCUUAUGAAGGCUCGAAGGUUACUACAGAAAGGUUGUAUGGGUCUCUUAGCUAUGGUAAGGGAUAUAACAGAAGGAACACUUAACUUGGAGAAGAUACCCGUGGUGAAUGAAUUUUCUGAUGUAUUUCCUGAGGAUUUGCCAGGAUUACCUCAUGUACGAGAGAUAAACUUCGGUAUUGAUUUGGCUCCUGAUACAUUGCAAAUAUCCAUACCCUCAUACCGUAUGGCACCAGCAAACUGAUGGAACUAAAACAGCAGUUGCAAGACUUACUCGAUAAGAGUUUUAUCCGACCAAGUAUAUCUCCAUGAGGCGCACCAGUAUUAUUCGUAAAGAAGAAAGAUGGGUCUCUAAGAAUGUGCAUCGACUACAAACAAUUAAACAAGGUAACGAUAUGCAAUAAGUAUCUUUUACCUCGUAUAGAAGACCUAUUUGAUCAAUUACAGGGGGCUGUCCACUUUUCAAAGAUUGAUCUUCGAUCUGGUUAUCAUCAACUCAUAAUCAGGGAGGAAUAUGUUUCCAAGACAGCAUUCAGAACUCGAUAUGGACACUAUGAGUUCCUUCUGAUGCCUUUUGGAUUAACCAAUGCGCCGGCUGUAUUCAUGGAUUUAAUGAAUAGAGUGUUCCGGCCGUUUCUAGAUAGGUUUGUGAUAGUUUUUAUUGAUGAUAUCUUGGUAUACUCUCGUAGCCAGGAAGAACAUGAGAAUAAUUUAAAGACAGUGUUACAGACUUUGUGAGAACAUAAGCUUUAUGCUAAGUUCUCAAAGUGUGAAUUUUGGCUAGACUCAGUAGCAUGUUUGGGGCAUGUAGUGUCCAAAGAUGGGAUCAAGGUGGAUUCCAAAAAGACAGAAGCUGUGCAAAAAUGGCCCAGACCUACUUCGCCUACAGAAAUUCGAAGCUUUUUGGGUUUGGCAAAUUACUACAUGCGUUUUGUGCAGGAUUUCUCCAAAAUAGCAUCUCCAUUGACUAAGUUGACACAGAAAAAUGCAAAAUUUCAGUGGACAGAAGAAUGUGAGCAAAGCUUCCAGAAACUUAAAAUGUUUUUGACAACAACACAUAUAUUGUCCUUACCAUCGGGUUCUGGAGGUUUUACGGUAUUUUGUGAUGCUUCGAGAGUUGGGUUAGGAUGUGUUCUGAUGCAAAAUGGUCGUAUUAUUGCCUAUGCUUCAAGGCAGUUGAAGAGGCACGAGCAAAACUAUACUACUCAUGAUUUGGAGAUGGCUGCAGUGAUAUUUGCUCUUAAAAUUUGGAGGCAUUAUCUAUACGGUAAAACUUACGAGAUAUAUACUGAUCACAAGAGCUUAAAGUAUAUUUUUCAGCAGAAAGACCUGAAUCUUCGACAGCGGCGAUGGAUGGAGCUAUUCAAGGAUUAUGAUUGUGUUAUUUUUUAUCAUCCUGGAAAAGCUAAUGUUGUGGCUGAUGCAUUGAGUAGAAAAUCUAUGGGCAUUUUAGCACAUAUAGUUCCUGAAAAGAGGCACUUGGCAAAAGAUGUGCAGAAACUUGAAGGCGCAGGUAUUAAAUUUAGUUUGGGAAAUUCAGAGAUAUUGCUAACUUGUGUGCAAGCCAAAUCUUCAUUAGUAGAGUGCAUUAAAACUACUCAAUAUGAGGAUGAACAACUUUGCAGAUAUCGAGAUGAGGUCACAAUUGGUAAAAGUGAGCAGAUGAUGGUUGACAGUGCUAUGCUUUGAGUAGGUAAUCGGUUGUGUGUACCAAACAUAGGUGGGUUAAGAUAAGUUAUUCUUGAAGAAGCUCACAACUCUAGGUAUACUAUGCACCCUGGUUCCACUAAGAUGUAUCAUGAUCUAAAGCAGUUGUAUUGGUGGGAAGGUAUGAAGAAAGAUAUUGCUAAUUUUGUUUCUAGUUGUUUGUCUUGUCAACAGGUUAAAACAGAGCAUCAACGACCUGUAGGGUUACUACAAGAGAUCCAAAUUUCGGAGUGGAAAUGGGAAAGAAUCACUAUGGAUUUUGUGGUUGGUCUACCCCGAACUCUCAGAGGUUAUGACUCUGUAUGGGUAAUUAUAGACCGAUCAACAAAAUCAGCACACUUCUUACCGGUAAAGGCUACAUAUGGUGGAGUGAAAUAUGCCCAGAUAUUUAUGAAUGAAAUUGUUCGACUUCACGGAGUGCCAAUAUCCAUCAUAUCUGAUAGAGGGUCACAAUUCACUUCACGCUUUUGGAGAUCCUUUCAAGAAGCCUUGGGUACUCGAGUAGACCUUAGUACUGCAUUCCAUCCAUAGACAGAUGGGCAGUCUGAGCGUACUAUUCAAAUCUUAGAGGAUAUGUUGAGAGCUUGCAUUCUUGAUUUUGGAGGUAGUUGGGAUGCUUACUUGCCUUUAGCUGAAUUUGCCUACAACAAUAACUUUCAGUCCAGCAUUCAGAUGGCUCCAUAUGAAGCUUUGUAUGGAAGGUGAUGUCGUUCUCCUAUAGGGUGGUUUGAAGUUGGAGAGGCCAAUGUGUUGGGACCAGACUUAGUACAAGAAGCCAUGGAUAAGGUCCAGUUGAUUAGGCAGAGAUUGCUUACAGCUCAAAGCAGACAAAAGUCUUAUGCGAAUAAGAGAAGAAUAGAUCUCAGGUUUACGGUUGGGGACAAAGUUUUUCUACUAGUUUAUCCUAUGAAAGGUGUGAUGCGUUCGGCAAAAGAGGUAAAUUGAGUCCGCGAUAUAUAGGACCAUAUGAGAAACUUGAUCGGGUAGGAGGAGUGGCGUAUCGUUUGGCACUGCCUCCCAAUAUGUCUUUCAUCCAUCCAGUAUUCCAUGUUUCUAUUUUGAGGAAGUAUAUCUCAGAUUCCUCUCAUGUACUUGAAGCACCGACUAUACCAAUUGUUGAGAACUUAACAUAUGAAGAGGAACCUGUGGCUAUUUUGGACAAACAAGUAAGAAGGUUAAGGUCAAAAGAAAUUGUGUCCGUGAAGGUCUUUUGGAGGAACCAUACCACUGAAGAAGCUACUUAGGAGUUGGGAAAGGAUAUGCGAGACAAGUAUCCUCUCUUGUUUCAGUCUACAGGUAUACACUUACUUUAAAUUUGGGGACCGAAUUUCUUAAGGUGGGGAGAAUGUAAUACCCUAUAAUAAAAUAAGGGCAUAAUUGUCAUUUAGCUCUCAUUUUAAAUUAGAAAAAAGGAUAAAAAAAAAAGGAGGCUGAAAGCCCUAACAGAAGCAGCAGCAACGCUGCAACUUCAGCAAUCAAAAGAAAAAAAAGGACUUUUCUAGUUCUAUAGUGAGCGAACGAACGAAGGAGAAACAUAAGUUUAAAUUGAAAGCCUUGGCUCUCAAACUAAAGAGAGAGGUGGAAGAAGAAGAAGAACGAGAAGAAGGUAAGUUUCUUAACCUAGUAUAAAGGUUGAAUUUGUAUCUUCCAUGACUAUAAGAUUGGGAAUUGGGAAGUGGAGAAACAUGGGUUUAGAAGAAAAAGAGGAAUUUCAUUCUAAUGAACCAAGUGAAUAUAGUCAAUGAUUUGAACUGUAAACUUUGGUAUUAGGCUUAUAUGCAAUAAGAGUAAUUGGGUAGUAAGGAUAGGUUGAUCUUUUUAAAGCGAGAAUUGACCAAGAAGAGACUAAUGUGUGUGAUUAAAGCACUAAUUAAGUGAUUGGGCAGAUUUCGAAUCAGCGAUGAAACCUCUAAGGCUGAGUUUUUUUUAAAAAUGUAGUAUGAAUUACCUAAAUGAAGGAGUUACAACGAAAUUAUUAUGAACGUGAUUAUAGAUUGACCAAAGGAAUUCGUACGGAGUAAUCGAGUAGCAAGCUUGGUAACUCAACACAAGUACUGUGAGUAGUAAUCUUACCGCAAUUGAUGUUUUAUAACUUGCAUGACUUUCACAUGGUUUAUAAAGCAAAGGCGUUACCGAAUGUUUUAAACUUGCAUGUGGGACAAGUCUUUUACUGGAUAUGAUACUGAAAAGAUCAUUUGAGAUGAACUCAUUCUUACAAGAUAUGAUUACUGAUAUUGAAAAGGUUUUACACUUAUUUGAGAAAUAGUAUUUUGACAAGUGAUUGUUAAACUUUGAAAUGUUCUAAUUUGAUAAGAUAUAAAUGUUCUAUCUGAUUUUGAAAUGCUUCUACAGAUUAUAAGAAAAGUAUAAAUGGGAGUAGACCUUGAUGAAUCCCGUAGCAAACAACGGGUUCGUUAGCCCUGAUGCACCUUGUAGUUCUGAUUACUGAUAAAGCCCUUACUAGUGGGAAGGUAGAACUAGUAUACUGUUACUGAUACCCCUCGAGUAGGGAUCUACUGAUAUGAAUAAUUAACUCCUUAGAUGAGGAGUUCACUGUUAUUGGUUACUUCUUAAAGAGAAGACCACACUGAUUACAUGAUUCAUCCUUGGAAACCUCCCAGCUAUAAGAUUUGAUAUGAAAAUGUUCUUUUUCUGAGUUUGCUAUUAUGUAUGUAUAUUGAUUUUGCUUAUAUGAGGCACCUAAGGUUGAACGUUGUUAUUGUUUCUAAAAGGGCAUUGUUUCAUCAUCAUGACUAUUACACUAGCAUGUUUUCUAACUUGUCCCUCAUUAAAAUGGUUGUGGUUAAGUAUUAUUACUCACUGAGCUAGGGUCUCACUCCUCGCUAUUUGUUUUACAGAGAAUUCAAGUGGUAUUGAAUAGGAUUUCAUUAACUAGCGUGUGAGUUGGUAGCAUAUGGUGAGCCCCGCAUUGCUUCGCGUGGCAAGAGAACUACUGAUUUGUUAUGUUUAUUUAGUUUCUUUUAAAAAAUCUUAGAGUCGCUCCAUUUGUCAUUCUUUAGAUUUGAGUCAAGAUUAGUCCUUCGAAUUGUAGUCAAGUGACUAGUUUGGAACUUUUUUCUGUAAUUUCGAGAUGAAUUGGUUUUAUUGCGUGACAAUUUGAUCAUUGAUGGAUAUGACAUGGUGGUUUAUAGUUGCUAUUAGUUGUGUUGUGAAAUUCUGAGACAGGAAAAUCCAGGAUAGGCCUAAAAACAAAGGAAACUCUGCCGAUUUUCUGUAGAAUUCUAGUGAGGCUUGCUUUGGGAUUCUCCCCCUUAGCGCCGGUCAUGAUCCUUAAUUGGGUCGUGACAAAGCGAUAACUAUUUGAAGGCCUUACACCAACACUAGUUGAACCGUACCUUGAAAAUAAGGUGGUAGGCCGACGUUGAACUCUUCAACUUGGCCACUGAAGAAGGGGAAGACUGGGUAUGCAUGAAAACUAAUGUUUGUGGUUUGAGUUCGCUUAUACAAGAGGAAAUCAUGAAUGAUCCUUUGAGGGAUUGAAUUUUUUUAUAGUGAAAAAUCCAUAAAGCACGACCCAAGAUCCACGAUACGAAAAUCUAAAUAAGAAUAACAAUGCUUAAAUAAAUCUUUAUGUUUAAAAAGUAUCAACUCACAAAAAAAAUCACUUUUUAGUUUAGUAUUUAGUAAAUUGAAUUAAUUAAAUUUAAAUUUCAUGUGACACAAGAGGAUCUAAAAGACUCAAACAAAUUAAAAUAAAAAAAUAUAAGGUAAUUGUUAAAUUUUUUUCUAAUUAAAAUAUGUCAAAUUGAACUACAAAUACCUCAAUUUUUUUGUAUCAAUAUAAUGAAUCAAUCAAUUAAGUUUAAUAUAGUUAGCUUUUUCCCCAUAAAGUGCAAGCUGAAAUAAUCGAUAAUUAUUUAACCCUUUAAAUCAUAUAUUUUUAAAUUAUUUAUAUCUUCCUAUUAAAAGAGAAAAAAGGUUCUACUUUACCUUAAUUAAAGAGUUGUGGCUAUAGCCUUGGUCCAUUCAGAAAUUAAAGAAAAUCAGCUUCUAUUGUUUUGUUCUUCUACAGCGCAGCUGCACUUUUGCUCUUCAUCUUCUCACAUAGUCGAUCAGAGCUCAUUGGUAAGUGUCCUCUUUUACUUCAAUCUUGUUCUCUCCUCAUACUUCCAUGGCCCUUUUCUCCUCUGUUCAAUUCUUCGUAUCAAAAUACUAUAGUGACCUGAACACUUAAGAAAUUUUUAAUUCCUUGCUAAAAUCUCACUCACUACGAAGAACGGUUCGAGUCAUAGUUCAAUUUUUUUUUUGGGGUGUUGCAUUUGUAUUACUUCCUCUUCUCUUUACAUUGACUUCUCCCUCUCUAUGAAUUCUGUCAUAGAUGCUUGGUGCUCCAAAGCUUGGAGACCGAACACCGAUCACUUAACUUGAUAGAUAGCAUAGAAUAAAAUAUUACAAGUUAGCCCAUAGAUAUAUAAGAACCUAAAUAGUAGCAAUUGGUUAAAAAAAAGAAGCUUUUUUAUUGAAAAAUAAAUUAUUUGGACAUUAUUGCUGAAGCUGACCAAAAUAUAACUGUAAAAAAGAGUAGACUGUUGUGGACAAAAAGGAAAAGAAUCAAAUGAUUUGACACUUUGAUGUUUUACUUAUAUAAAUUACAAACUAAAAGCUACGCAUAAAUUUUAUUGUAACAGUAGAAACUUUAAGGACAAGCAAAUAAAUAUUGAAAUGUGAAGGAUGAUAUUACCUUCAUUUAUGUGUAGCGUACAAUUAUGGAUAAUUAUUACCUUCAUUUUAAUAUGCACUGAAUCAAACAUUAUGGCAAUUUAGUCUGGAUACAAAAAUAUCAUAAAUUACAUCAUGUAUUCUAUAUGCAUAUUCAUAUUGGGUAGAUAAAGAGACUAACUGUUAAUUAUGGCUCCAUAACUGAUAGUGGCUCAACUUGGAAAAUUUGCAUAGAUAAUGAAUUGGGAUAGGAUAUGUUAGAUUAAUAUAAAAACCAAGAGCAAAUAUUACCAUAAAAGAAUGUGGGCAAUGGAUUGGGUUGCUCCUCUCUAAACUAGAGGUUUUAGGUUCAAACUCUGGAUAUGAAAAAAUUCUUGGUAGGAAAUUUUUCUAAGUAGCUAAAGGGUAAUACUCAAACUUUGAAAUUAACAGCUUCCCACUAUUAGCAUAGUCUAGUAAAAUAAUAUUAUAUGAUAUGAUUAAUAAGGGUCAAUUAGCACACAACAAAGAUGGUUAAUAUUCAUUUGUAGUAUAGAAAAGGUGGUUCUUGCCUUUGAAUGGAGACACUUUAAUAGGAUUGUCUUAACUACCCCACGAUAAUGGUCUUUAUAUGGCACAGACAUGGUGCACUGGUUCUUGUCAAUAUUUUGAUGGUAAAAAUAAAAAAAAUGCUAUAAAAAGUUAAUUAAAUAAUACCAUGUAUGACUCAAUCUUUUAAAAAAAAAUUUACAUUUGCAUCUGGUACACCUACUAAAUAGCUAAAGUCCUACAUAUCUUUUUAUUUUUUUAAAAAUAAUUUUUCCUUACAAAUGAUUCUUGCAAUGCUUUUGCAGAUUCUUUGAAGUGGCAUAUUUAUCAUUGGGAAUCAGUUGGAUAUUCGUGGAACAAUAGGCAUAGAAAUGUUGUCACCAAAGAUAGAAUAUAAUGCUUAUUUGGUGUUCAAGUUGGUAAAUAUGUGUGAUUAUAGACUUGAAUAUGCUAAAUCAACUAUUAGAUUUGUUAAUUAUGACAGUGAAACUGAUACUGAAAAUCAGGCCAACACUGUGCACCUUCCAAGAUUGCAAGAAAGUGGGAAUAUCCCAAAAAUGAGAGGAGAUGGAUGGAUGGAUGGAAGUAAAAUUGGGAUAUUUUGAUAGCAAGAAAGGCAUCGACGGUCUUGUUGAAGCAAGACUGUUUUAGAUGAAUCAUAUUUACAAAGGUGGACUCAUUGUUGAAGGAGUUGAGUUUCGUCCAAAAUGAGACGCGGAUAUGAGAUUUUAAGUUUUACAAGUUUUGAACAAGAAUUCUUUGAAUUCUUAUUCUGAUUACUAUUUUAAUGUUGUCAAUUUACUAUAGACAAUUCAUAUACAUUGCAUAUCCUUAAGACUUUAAUAUUACUUAAUAAUUUGGAUGUCCUCUUUCUACCUUGUGGCCUAUAUAUUUUGGCUUCAACUUCACUUUUAGAAGGAAGAAAAAAGAUGAAGAAAAAUUCCUUCUUCCGAUAUUUUUAUUAUGUUGGAUUUUCUUUUAUGUUAGUUUAUGUGCUUCUAGUUUUAUAUUAAAAGAGAGCUUUGAUGAAUCCUGAGGAUGGAGAAAUCUUUUUUUGAUUUCAACUAAUGGAUCAAUUUCAACUAUGUCAAAGGAAGAAAAUAUGGUGUUAUCAUUUGGAUGUUGUUCCCAAAGAUCCAUCAUGUUCAUCUCCAUCUUCUUUAGGUGCUUAAGCUAAUAAGGUAUGACAAUACUAUAAGCCUAUAUGUUUAAUGAACUUCUGUGGAAUAUUCUGAGAAAUGAUAAUCAUGCUAAGUAAAAAUAAAUUUGACUAACAAGAUGAUAUAAUUAUUGUGGUAAUUUCUCAAGUACCAAGACCAAUGACGGAGGGUGCAUGGGUGAUUCCAGCUGAUAUUCCUGCAGCCUUCAGAUGUGUAUGAGCUCCUCCACACACUUGAUCCUUCUAGCAUUUUCCCCCCUUUGUCUCUAUGUCCAUAUCAUAAGCUUCUGAACCUUCCUUAGCCUGUAGCAUUUUUUUUUGCAUUCCCUUUAUCGAGAAUGCCUUCUCAGGUAGCAAACUUUCCCGGGUCUCUUUGUUCUUUCCCUCUAGUGCCACAUGUAUUCAAUCGAUUUUCACCCUAUACAAUAGGAAAACUAAUUGAAUGACAUGAUCAAUGACUUGGAAGAAUUUAUACCCUAUGUCUCCGAUGCUUCUCAAACUUGGUCCAUAAUAUCUUUAUGCUUGAUUGGAUCUAUCACUGGAAAAAUGAACUUCGAUUCACAACUGCUUACAGAUUCCUCUGUUUUAGUUGGUUGAACGAAUAUUCGUGGCACUUUGGUGUUUCCAGCAUCAACAUUUCCUUUUGAUACCAGCCUCAAGGCUUUUAAAUCGUUUGUUACAUAUAUUAAAUGAGACUUUUUGUCAUUACAUAACAAAGGAUUUAACAACACGAUACAACAAAACUUAAGUUGUCUUUACAAACAAACGUUGUAUUUAAAGUAACAAGACGAUACAAUACAAUAGGUAAUAACAAGCAUCCAAAGAAAACUUCUCAGUUCUCAUUAUAAAUUCAGUGAUUACAUUAAGAUUAGAUCUUGUAACGCAACAAUGCAAAAAUUCCAUCUAGACCUUUCUUACGGAAGUACUCACGAUAGCCUUUCACUGUGGUUGCAUGAUAUUUUGGAGGGUUAUCUUCUGACAACAAUUCAGAAAUUGGUCCAUAAAGCUUGGAAGAUGACAUUGAAUCUGUGCCGAAGAAGCAUGGAACUGAUACUCUUGGUCCAACUUUGUUUGCCAAUACUCUGUGAUCAACACUUGUGUACUUAUCAUUUGAUAUGAUCUGAAAAAAGCAACCAAAAUAAGCAAAUGGUAUAUUAAAUCUUAUCGAUCGUACAUGGAUUAGAAAAUAACAAGAAAACUAGCUUGCAUAAGAUCUCCAAUGUUGACCACAAGAGCACCACCCGACACCUGAUCUGGGACCCAACCUCAACUCUGACACUCGUCUGAUAUCACCACCCCGACACCCAACCUAGAAUUCGACCUCGAAUGCUUACCAAUGAGGUCCCUCAAAGCCAAAUAUAUAUGGAUGGGCGCUCUUCCCUACAGCAGUGAAUAAAAAAGAACUUUAAGACGAACAACAUUUUCCAGUGAGAUAAAAAUAUCAAUAUACAGAUGCAGACAUGUGACAUACCAACGUGGCCUCCGGACAAUAUCACUGUAUCUUUAUCAGAGAAUCCUAUGUUGUAAAAUACGCCCCUCAAGUGUGGAGGACGAAAAGGGCAUUAGCGAACAAAGUAAGUGAUAUGCAACAUCCAAAGAAUAUGUUCCAAAUUCAGAACAAUAAUUAAGUUGUAGAGCACUCUUGGAAAUUAGCUCCUUCUAAACAUUCUUAUAGUUGCGAAGGACACUACAAAUAUUAUAAAUAACUUAAAAGUCUUAGUUUAAUAUAAAUAGAGUAAAGAUGAAACAUCAUCAAAACAUAAAGUAAAAGAAAAUUGAAGAAAAUCAUGAAUUCAUAAUCCAAAGUCAGCGCCAAUAAGUGAUGUAUAGCCAAUAUUCAUAUUCAAUUUUUAUUCCCAUUGAUUUUUUCUUGGAUGCGGCAACCAAAAGUUUUGGAUGGAUGAAGAAGUUUUGUAUGCUAUCACUACAGUCAAUUUCACGUAUGGCUAAUGAAUUUUUAGUCAAAGAAUUAACAAAUUUUAUAUAAAAUCUCAUUUAAAGCCAAUUUUGGCCGUGUAGAGUGAAGGUUGAAGAUCAUUUACAAUUGGUUGCCACCUUCUGAGUCUAGUUGAUGGCCUAAGAAGCGACAUUAUCAAAAUAAUUAUAACUCUCUCACACACACAUAUAAGGAGUAAAAGAACAAUUCCAGUAGAGAUUAAAGAUUAUUUAAGAUUAGAGUUUGAUCAAAUACUUGUCUGAACAUCACGUGUGAUUCUCUUCUACUGUAUUCUCUUUGUGUGGGUGAUAGACCGACCAUCUAUGAACACUAACACAAACUUAAAGUAAGUAAAUAUUAAUUUGUAAUGGAAGUAAUAAAACCUUUGAAAGGGUAAAGCCUCAAAUCCAAAUUAAAAGGUGUAUAUUAAAUGAAGAACUAUUAUACCUGCUGAAUUGCAUAUUUGUUGGUUUUCUAUAACUGGACGAAGUGUCUAGAAAUCAUGAUCAAGAAAUCAAUCAAUUCCUGAUUCUUCAUGUCACGACCCGAUCCUACACCCUGGACGUGUCCGGCACUCGAGAAUCAUUGUUGGUUCCCAAGCAAACCCUCAUCCUAGCUAACUACAAGCGAAAGACUAACUUAAGCAUACAUAAGCCUCAAUUGAAAGAAAUGUUAAAUCAACAAUGUAUUAAAUCUCAAAACUUUUUGAAUAUACUGAAUAUUAAACAUAACUUUUAAAGAAAACCUCUGAAACUGAAAGACUCUCCAAACUCUCUAUCUAUGAAGCUCUAUUGUACUAGUGGAUCCACUUAUACCUUGUCAGGGUAUAGAACAUCUCAACUAAGUGGAUCCACUAAGCUCUGUCGGAAGGCACUUAGGAUUUAUCUAAAAGUUAUGAUCAUGUACCCAUGUUGUCAUACAUAGUUUAUGAGGAAUGUGAGUUGUACGGACUCAUCCCCUUAUUGGUGCUCAAUACUACUCCCAAUAAUAUAUACUCAUGCUCAAUGUUUAAAAACAUACUCUUUCUCUGGUUUGAGAUAAUUGCUCAAACUAUCCUCUUAAAAGAGGUAACUUCUGUGAAAUAUCUUUGAACUCAUAAACUCUUUUUAUAAAUCAAAGUUUCUCUUUUUCUCAAUGUAAAAAAUGAUACCUUUUGGAAAUACUUAGUUCUCUAAUACUUUUUACUCAAUUCAUAUUUGAAAACUCUUUCUCAAAAAUAUAAUCAAAAUCAUAUCGUGAUAUGAUCGUUGAUGACUCGGGAAGUCAUAUUGCAUAAACAUUGAUGGCAUAUUUAGAUACCAUAUUGUUUAAACAUUGAUGACAUACUCGCUUGUCAUACUAAUCAUGUUUUUAAAAACUCUUUAUCAAAACUCAUCUUUACUUCCUCAAAAACUCAGUUUAAAAUAAAAAUGUUGCUUUAAAAGAUUCUCAGAAAUUAUAACUCAAAAUAGGGUUCAUGCUGAAAUAUAGACAUGGACAAAUCAAACUCAAGGAUCCCAAUAACAAUUUAGAAAACUCAAUACUCAGAACUCAAGAACUCAAAACUCAAUGAUACUACUCAUCUCAAGAAUACUCAAUUAAUAGGGUUCAUGCUCAAAUAUAGACAAGAAAAUGCUUCCAAAAUCUCUCUCCCAAGCUUCCAAAAUGGAGAAGAAAGUGAAAUAGAAGAAAGGGGGCAGAUUUUAGCCAUUAAUUGAAUAUUUGACCACGAAUUGACUAUGUUGACCGAGGUCAACAUCAGCAAAAUUAGCUCCCUAAAAUUAGCUCUCGAGAUUCUUUCAAGACUCGAUAAAAAUAAACCAAAUAUGCUACCCUACUAAAUUCGACAUUUGGAUUCAAUUGAAUCGUCGGAUUUUCUGAAAAAAAGAUUGUUUUGAUAGAAAUACCCUCCUGGACCUCUCUUUAUGCCUUAACCUCAACUUCUCUCCUAAACACCCAACUCUCAACCUAAGGCCUCAAAAACCUUACCAACCACUCUACUUGCUCGAACUUGACAUUCCGAAUACGAUGGAACUACUGGAAUUCCCAUCCAAUCCUCAAAACUCAAAAUGUUGGCCAAACUCAACCUAUGAAGAAUUCUCAACUCAAUAAGAGUCAAAUUAUUAAAAACACACUCGAUCGCAUUGGGGACUACACCAACCAUCCUCGAAACACAAACUAAGCAUAAAAAUGCUACAAGGAAGGGAAUAAUGGUCAUUUCACAAUUAAAAACAAAAAUACAAACAAUGAGGCAUUACAAGUCGAUCUCCUAUCAAUUUUGGAUCCAUUAUAGUCUGCAUCUACAGAUUAUCCAACACAAGUAUGAUUGUGAUUGCUAUACAAUAUGCCAAGUCCAAGAGCCCCUUUCAAAGUAACAUAGAAUUUUGUGUCAAGGCUUCCCAAUGUUUGAUCGUAGGCACAAACAUGAAUCGGCUAACAACACUUACCACAACAGUAAUAUCCAGAUGAGUCACAUUAAGGUAGUUUAAUUUUUCAACAAAUCUUUUAUAGCUAUCAGUAUCAUUAAAAGGAACACCAUCAUCUUUCUUAAGAUGCACGUUGGGAACCAUUGGAGUACUACAAGGUUUGGCUGCCAACUUUCAGAUGUCUACAAGUAGGUCAAGAAUAGAGAUAGAAAAAGUUCCCUUCUUGCUUCUAUUAACUUCUACUCCCAAAAAGUAUCUUAACAGACCUAAGUCUUUCUUAUGAAAUUUAGCAUAUAGGAAAGAUAUCGUAUAAUCAUGUAACACCUAAGAUUUGGAAAAGAAGGAAAAUAUUUAUUUUGGAUUGCAGAUUGUGUCUACGUUCCCAUCUAAGGACCGUAGAAGCUUCUACGGGUCGUAGAUGGAAACUGUACAAAGGGGGAAAUAAUUUUUUGAAAUCAAGUCUCAGUACGCUUUUUACGGUUUAUCGGGGUUGUCCGUCAUUCCUUGUACGAGUCGUAGAUAGGUCUCACAGGUGAGUCCCAAACUUAGUUAAAUUUUAAGGGUCAAAGUGGGGUUCUAUGGUUGGUUUCUAUGGACCGUAGGAAGACCUACGAGACGUAGAAAUGUUCCGUUAAAAAAGAUAGUGAAAUUAUGGUCCUACUACUUGGUCUAUGAUUGACUUGUAUGGACCGUAGAAAGUCCUACGGUCCGUAGGUCUGAAACACAGGCCGAAGUCUGGCAGUUAUUUAAAGGGUCUUUUCUCUAAUUGUUUUAAAUCAAAACUAUGUCGUUUUUCCUUCUAGCGUAAGCCCUGUAGAAAUGUUUUAAGCCCCAAAUCACCCACUUUCAACUCAAUCUCCUAAAUUCCCUAAACUCACCAAAGUCAUCCUCUCAAAUUCUCUUAAGACUAAGGAAGAAGAAGAGCUAGGAUUCCAUCCAAGUUUUCAAUCAUCCAUUCUUCUUGGCCUUUUGGAAUUAAGGUAUGUGAGUAUUCACCCAUGGAGUACUUUCCUCCAUGGGGUCCUCAAAGGUUUUCAAAUUCUCUUUUUAAUUUCAUUGAUUCAAAUUAGGGUUUCAAUUCAAUGUCAUGGAUUUAUUCAAUUGUGAAUGAUUAUUGUUAAUUAAGUUUUCUAAUGCAUGAUUCAAUGUUAAUACAUGAUAUGUAGUUGAAAUUAUGUUUACCCAUGCCUAAAUUAUGAUUUUUCAACUAUUAAGCUAUGACGAACUCAUAAACCUUUGAAUUAUGAAAUUUAUGAAGAUAUACAUGUCUUUCUAAAGUUAUUAUAAAUGAAUUUUAGGAUGUUUUGAAUGGAAAGUAUCAAUGCUAUUGUCAUAGGUUAUUUCACAUGCUAUUAGGAUAAUGAUUGUGAAAGAUAUUUCUCACAUAUGGAUUCACUUUGAUGAAAUUAAAGGUUUUCUUAUCUAUGUUGACUUAUGCUUAAGGACCUAUUCUAUGUUUUAGUUUUGAAAGAUGUGGAUUGGUAUUGGUCAUUGCCUUUCCUAUGUUAAAUUGAUAUUUGCUUUCUUAUCUAUUCGAUUAAGAUUUAGACUUAGCACCGAGAGGGCUUUGAGAUGGAGGCUCAAAUAGGGUAGUCUCUAGUAGCAACCUCUAGUCCCAAACUACGUGCUCCCAUAGAAUUGUCUUAAAUGACCUAAAUAGUGGAUCCACUUUAGCAAAACAUGAUAUGUACGAAUUCUACCAUGGAAAGUAGUUUCCCCUUCUUUCGGUAUGAGGAAUAUACCAAAUUCUAUGAUAUAGAUCUCAUGGUCUUGUUGUCGGUUAAAGGUAAAAUUCCACAAAAUUGACUAUGUUUUCUUCAAAGUUUUUCUUAUGUCCUUUAUUCCAAAUGCAUUGACUGUAUCCUAUAAUUUUCAUGUUUUAUUUCUUAUGUUAAAAUGUUCAAUUAUUGAUCAUGUCUACAUGUUUUAAACAAUUUAUACUAUCAUGUUUAUGUUGAUGCAUAUUUCCCCAUACUUAGUACAUUUCAUGUACUAAUGCAUACUUGUACCUACAUUAUCUCAUGAAAAAGGGUACGACGUUCCUACUUCGCACACUCGUGGCUAUACAUCUCUUAGGUGCUUAAGUUGAUUGGUGAGUAGGUGUUUAAGUUGAUUGGUGAGUCCUCAUGAUCCGAGGAUUGAGACACUAUAUAUUUGUUUAUGUCUUUUAGUUUCAAACUUUGUAAAUGAUGUAUGAGUUACGUCCUAAUCUCUUUCCUCGUGAUGUAUUAAAUGGCUUUGAGACUUAUGUUAGACUUCUGCUUUGUUAAACUUUUGAUAAAUGAUGUAUGCUAGGUGGCUUGUGUAGGACCUCUCGGGGUCUUAUACGCCAUGUUACACCUAGAGGGUGUACCCUUGGGUGGUGAAAAACUUGGUAUUCAGAAACAAGGUUUAGAAAGGUCCUAGGAUGUCUCGUAAGACACGUCGAGUAGAGUCUUAUUCAUAAAUAUGAAACGCGCCACAUUUAUGAAUAGGAGGCUAUAAGAUGUUUAGGAAAUUCUGCUUCUUUCAUCAUUCUAAAUUCUUGCGGUUGAGUUAACUCUAAAUGUCUCACUCCUUAACCUUAUCUAAUCCUUUUCGAGAUAUGGACCCUCAAGAGCUUAUUUUAGGAGGAAUAUGAAUGAGAACGUGGAACCAUAAUCUCCUCAAGAAGCUCCUCAAGUUCUGGCCGAUCCUUUAGUCGAACAAGUGACUAAUGCGGAGUUUCAAGCUGCUUUUCAAGUGUUGGGUCAUGCUGUGACUACUCAAGCCAAUAUGGAGGUUGUGGUCCCCGUGAACCUAAAUGUGGGUAUGGUUGCAUCUAGAGUAAGGAACUUCACUUGGAUGAAUCUCACGUCCAAGGUCAAGGAAGCUCAAGAGUUCAUUGAUGAUCCAUAAAAGGUGUUAAUGAUCAUGGGAGUGACAACGGUGGAAAAGGCAGAAUUUUGCUCUUAUCAACUUAAGGGUGUUGCUCAGAUUGUGUUCAACUGAUGGAAGGAAUAGAGGACAGUUGAUGUGGGUCCUCUUGAUUGGGAAAAGUUUAAGGUUGCUUUCCUUAUAGGUUAUUUCCCAUUGAGAUGCGGUAGGCAAAGGUACUUGAGUUCAUCAACCUUUUUCAAGGAAAUAUUAGUGUGAAGGAGUAUGCCUUUAAGUUUAUGCAAGCUUUUAGAUAUGCUCUUACAAUGGUUGUCGAUCCUAGGGCAAGGAUGAGAGUUUGUUUCGAGAGUAUCCGAGAUGGUGGUUAAAGAAUGUCAUACAACCAUAAUCAUCAAUGAAUUGGACAUUUAUCAUCUAAUGAUUCAUGCUCAAUAAUUUGAAGAAGAGAAGCUUAAGGAAAGGUCUAGAGAGGUAAAGAGGCAAAACACUGGUGAUGGUGACUUUUCACAUUCAAGGUCCGACGGACAUGAUCAUUCUAAGUUCCGACAAAGGUUUUCUGGUCAAGGUUCCUCUAAUGUUCCAGCUCCUAAGUUAAACAAAGAAAGUAUGUCUAACCCUAAGACUUAAGAAGGAAAUAGUAGUGGAAAUGGAUCUUCGUUACCCACAUGCCAAAAGUGUGGUAAAAGUCAUUCGAGAAAAUGCUUGGUUGCUACAGAUAAUUGCUUUGGUUGUGGUAAAAGUGGUCACUGCUUGAGGUAUAAUCCAUCUAUGAAUGACAAAGUAAAGGAUGGUAGGCAAGAUCCACGUAGUUUUUUGGGUUCAAGUUCUCCAAAGCAACACUGAUUCUAUGCACUUCAGACUCAUCAUGAUCAAGAGCGUUCUCCCGAUGUUUUACCGAUAUAUUGAAACUCUUUCAUCUUGAUCUUUAUUCCUUGCUUGAUCUCGGUGCUACCUUAUCUUUUGUGGUGACCUAUGUGGCUAUGAUAUUUGAUGUUCUUCUGGAUGUGUUGUUAGACCUUUUUUUUUGUCUCUACUCUUAUUGGUGAAUCUAAUGUGGCUAAGAGAGUCUAUUGAAAUAGUGUCGUCUCCUUAUCUCAUAGAGUCACUCAUGUUGAUCUAGUAGAGCUUGAUAUGUUAGAUUUUGAUGUUAUUCUUGGUAUAGAUUGGCUUCAUUCCUGUUAAGCUUUUAUUGAUUGUAGAACCCACUAGUUAAGUUCCAUUUUCCAACUGAGUCCAUCCUAGAAUGGAAAGAGGGAGUUUCUAAGCCUAAGGGUCAGUUUGUUUCUUGUCUUAAACCUAGAAAAACGAUCUCUAAGGGUUUCAUAUAUCUUCUUGUUUGGGUUAGGGAUGCGGAUUCCAAAACCCCUACUUUUUAGUUGGUCCCUGUUGUAAAUGAAUUUCUGGAAGUGUUUCUCGAAAGGGAAAUAGACUUCAGUAUUGACCUUCUCCCAGAUAUGCAACCUAUCUUUAUUCCUCCUUACGGUAUGGCCCCGAUAAAACUUAAGGAAUUGAAAGAGCAAUUGAAAGAUUUGUUAGAUAAGGGUUUCAUACCACUGAGUAUCUCUCCAUGGGGUGCUCUCAUCGUGUUUUCUCAUAAGAAGGAUGGUUUUCUUCGUAUGUGUAUCGACUACCAACAAUUGAACAAAGUCACCAUCAGGAACAAGUACCCUCUUCUGAGGAUUGAUGAUUUAUCCAAUCAACUCCAAGGAUCAAGCUACUUAUCUAAGAUCGACCUUUGGUUGGGUUAUCACCAGUUGAGGGUGAAGGAGGAUGACAUCCCGAAGAUGGUGUUUUGGACUUGGUAUGGUCAUUACGAGUUCUUGGUUAUAUCGAUUGGGUUGAAUAACACUCCAGCCACAUUUAUGGACUUAAUGAAUGGGGUAUUUAAACAUUACCUUGAUAUUUGAGGAUUGUGUUGAAAGUCCUCAAGGAAUAACAACUCUUUGCAAAGAUUAGUAAAUGCAAGUUUGGUUAAGUUUUGUGGUGUUUCUUUGUCACAUUGUCUCCAACAAGGAUAUUGAGGUAGAUCCUAAGAAAACAAAUGCGGUUAAGAUUUAGUCUAGACCUCUAUUCCCUUCAGAUAUUCAAAGUUUCUUAGAUUUGGCGGGUUACUUUAAAAGGUUUAUGAAAUGAUUUUCUUCGAUUGCCUCUCCAUUGACGUUAUUAACUCAAAAGAAAGUCAAGUUCUUAUGGUCGGAAGCUUGUGAGAAGAGUUUUCAAGAAUUGAAAAAUAGACUUACCUUUGCUCCAGUGUUGACAUUACCAGAAGGUUCCAAUGGGUUUGUUGUUUAUUUUGAUACUUCAAGAAUUGGGCAAGAAUGUGUUCUUAUGCAAAAUUGGAAAUUCACUGCUUAUGCUUCAAGGCAACUAGAGAUUCAUGAAAAGAACUACCCUACCAAUUAGUUAGAGCUAGUGGCGGUUGUUUUUGCCUUACAGAUUUGGAGGCAUUAUUUGUAUGGUGUUCAUGUUGAUGUCUUCACCAACAACAAGAGUUUGCAAUAUGUGUUCAAGCAAAAUGAUCUAAUUCUUUGCCAACGUAGAUGGCUAGAUCUCUUGAAGGAUUACGACAUGAGUGUUCUCUAUCACCCUAGUAAGGCGAAUGUGGUGGCGGAUGCUCUUAGUCGAAUAUCAAUGGGUAGUGUUGCUCAUGUUGAGGAAUAUAAGAGAGAUUUGGUUUGUGAUGUUCAUAGAUUACCGAUUGGGUGUUCGGUUGGUUGAUUCUAAUUAGGGUGGUGUUAUGUCCAUAAUGGUUCAGAAUAGCCAUUUGUGUCGGAUGUGAAAGCUAAGCAAGGUCUUGAUCCAAUUUUGGUUGAAAAGAGAAAGGGCUACUUAGAAAAAUCGUUGAGGCUUUCUCCUAAGGGAGAGAAGGUAACUUACAUAUCAAGGUUGUUUUCCAAUGUUGAUGACUUAAGGGAGCGAAUCAUAUCGAAAUCACAUAGAUCUUGAUAUUCCAUUCACCAAGGAGCCACCAAUAUGUACCAUGACUUGCGGGAGGCUUAUUGGUGGAAUGGGAUGAAGAAGGAUAUUGCGGAAUUUGUGGCUAAGUGUUCUAAUUGUCAACAAGUGAAGGUUGAGAAUCAAAAGACAAGAGGCUUGUCCUAAGAUAUUAGUAUUCCUACUUUGAAGUGGGAGGUUUUGAAUAUUGAUUUUAUUGUUGGUUUACCCCGCACCCGCGAUAACAUGACUCGAUUUGGGUAAUUGUAGACCGUAUGACAAAGUAAGCUCAUUUCAUUCCUGUCAAAUUUUCUUACUUGGAAGAAGACUAUGCUAAGUUGUACCUAAGAAAAAUUGUUAGGUUUCAUGGAGUGCCCCUACCCGUUAUCUCUGAUCGUGGUACCCAAUUAACUACCCUAUUUUAGAAGUCUUUCCAAAAGGGCCUUGGUACUCGUACUAAACUUAGUAUGUCCUUUCAUCCUCAAACCAAUGGGCAAGAAUAGCGUACUAUCCAAAUUUUGGAAGAUAUGUUAAGAACUUGUGUGAUUGACUUUAAGGGUGAUUGGCAUGAUCAUUUGCCUUUGAUCGAUAUUGUGUAUAAUAAUAGCUAUCAUUCAAGCAUUGGUAUGGCUCCAUUUGAGGCUCUUUAUGGUAGUAAGUGUAGAUCUCAUAUAGGUUUGUUUGAAGUUGGUGAGGUUGCUUUGAUAGGUACUAAAUUGGUAGAGGAGACUAUGGACAAAGUUCAGCUUAUUAGAGAAAGGUUGAAAACGAUUCAAAGCCGAAAAAAGUCCUAUUCCGAUGUUAGAAGAAGAGAUCUUGAAUUUGAUGUAGAUGGUUGGGUCUAUCUGAAAAUUUCACCCAUGAAGGGUGUAAUGAGAUUUGGGAAGAAAGGGAAGCUUAGUCCCCGUUAUGUGGGCCCAUAUCAGAUUAUGAGGCAUAUUAGUAAAGUUGCUUAUGAACUUGAUUUGCCUAACGACUUAGCAUCGGUGCAUCUAAUUUUCCAUGUCUCCUUAUUAAAGAAGUGUGUUCGUGAUCUGACAUCCAUCUACCAUUGAGGAGUUGUGGAAUAAAGGAAAGCCUUUCUUGUGAAGAGUUUUCGGCUGAGAUUUUAGACCAACAAGUCAAAAAUUUGAGAAAUAAGAAAGUUGCAUCCAUGAAAGAGUUGUGGAAGAAUCAAAGGAUUGAAGGUGCUACUUGGGAGGUGAAGGCUGACAUGAUGUCCUGUUAUUCCUAUCUCAUUCCAUUCGAUCAUACUCUAGCUAGAGGUAUUUAGUUCCUCAUGGUUCAUCCUUCUUGGUCUCAUAUGUCUUAAUUGUUCUCAUGUUUCUUCAUGUAUGUAUACUCAUGAAAACUUAAUUUUCUUUUUGAGAAAGUGAGUUAACUUGAUUGAUUUCUCCAUGCAUGUAUGCCUUAUGAAAUAUUGUUUUGAUUAUGUUUGAUCUUGGAGUUGAUGUUCCUCCUUGAUACUGUGUGUUUUGAAUUAGUUGCAUUAAUGUUAGGCAGUUAAAUCUUUUACCUCACCCUCUUUAUGAUUUCUUGAGUUCCAUUCCAAGACGAAUGUUCUCAAAGGGAGUUAUCGUAACACCACGGAUUUGGAAAAUAAGGAUAAUAAUUUUUUGGGUUGCAAGAUGUGUCUAUGGUUCCCAUCUGUGGGCCGUAGAAGCUUCUACAGGCCGUCAAUGGAAACCAUAGGAAUGGGAAAUAAAAUUUGAAACUAAAUCUCAGUACCCUUUCAUGGUUCACUAGGACAGUCUGUCAUUCCUUGUACGAGUGGUAGAUAGGACUCGUAGGUGAGUCACAAACUUAGUGAAAUUUUAAGGGUCAAAGUAGGGUACUAUUGGUUUGUACAAACCGUAGGAAGACCUACGGCUGUAGAAACAUUCCGUCAAAAUGAUGGUGAAAUUAUGGUCCUAGUACUUAGUCUACGAUUGGCCACUAUGGACAGUAGAAAGUCCUACGGUCCAUAGGUCUGAACCAUAUGUUGAAGUCCGAUAGUUAUUUAAAGGUGCUUUUGGGUCUUCUCCUUAAUUGUUUUAAAUCAAAACUACAUUGUUUUGCCUUCUGCCCUAAGAUCACCCACUUUCAAAUCAUUUUCCUAAAUUCCCUAAAACUCACCGAAGUCUUCCUCUCAAAUUCUCUCAAGGCUAACGAAGAAGAAGAGCUAGGGUUCCAUCCAAGUUUUAAAUCUUCUAUUCUUCUUGAGAAACCUCUAGUCCCAAAUUGUGUGCCCCCGUAGGAUUUUCUUAAAUGACCUAGCUAGUGGAUCUAAUUUAGCAAAACAUGAUAUGUACGGAUUCUACCUUUGCAAGUGGUUUCCCCUUCUUUGAGUAUGAGGGAUAUACCAAAUUCCAUGAUAUAACCCUCAUGGUCUUAUUGUAGGUUAAAGCUAAAAAUCCCACGAAAAUGACUAUGUUUUCUUCAAAGCUUUUCUUAUGUCCUUUACUCCAAAUGCAUUGACUAUAUCCUAUAAUUUCCAUGUUUUAUUUCCUUAUGUUAAAAUGUCGAAUUAUUGAUCAUAUCUACAUGUUUGAAACCAUUUAUAAUAUCACGUUCAUGUUUAUUCAUACUACCCCACACUUAGUACAUUCUAUAUAUUAAUGCAUACUUGUAAUUGUGCCUACAUUAUCUCAUGAAUGUGGUGUUCGACGUUCCUACUCCGUACACUCAUGGUUAGAUAUCACCUGGGUUUUUAAGUUGAUUGGUGAGUCCUCAUGAUCCGAGGACCGAGACACUAUUUAGCUUUGUCUUUUCAUUUCAAACUUUAUAAGUGAUCUAUGGGUUAGUCUCAAUCUCUUUCCUUAUGAUGUAUUCGAUGGUUUUAAGACUUAUGUUAGACUUCUGCUUUGUCAAAUUUUUGAUAUAUUAAAUGCUUUCUUUCAAGUCUUUACUUUUAUUAUCUUGUAUGAUGUAUUAUAAGUGGAUUGUGUAGGGCCUCUUGGGAUCUUAAAUGUCAUGUUACACCUAUGGUGUACCCUGGGGUCGUGACAAGUCACUUGUUUUAAUGACAAUGUCAUCAAAUUAUACAACAAGAUGGAUAUUGCCAGUUCUUGCUUGCUGAUAGAAAAUUGAGUGAUCACAUUUGCUCAUUUUAAACCCAAAUUCACUACCUCACUAAACUUGCCAAACCAAGCCUGAGGACUCUAAUUCAAGCAAUACAAGGACUUUUUCAAAUGACGGACUUUCCCAUACUCCCUUUGAUAAAGAAAACCAGGUUGCUGCUCCAUUUAAAGUUCCUUUCCAAGAUCAACAUGAAGGAAAGUAUUCUUGAUAUCCAAUUGAUGUAAAGGCCAACUCUUUGAACCAGUUAGAGAAAUGAAUAAGUGAACUGAAAUGAGUAUAGCAACAGGAGAAAGAGUCUCUGAAUAAUCCACUCCAUAUGUAUGACCAUACCCUUUAGCCACAAGCAUGGCCUCAAGUCUUGCCAUAGAACCAUCCGGAUUAACUUUAACCAUGAAAACCCCACUUACAUCCCACUAUUUUUUUCCUGUUGGGUAAAUCCACCAAAUCCCAUGUGCAGUUUUCCUCUAAAGAAUGUAUUUCCUCAAGCAUUGCACUAGACCUCCAUUAUGAUUCCAAGCCUCCCUCACUAUUUUAGAUACAAACAAAGAAUCUAUAGAAACAAUCAAUGAUCUAGACAUCGAGGAUAAAUGGUCAUAGGAACAAACUUAGCAAUGGAAUAUGUAGAUUUACAAUCCAUGUACCUUUGGGAAGAGCAAUAGGUAGAUCAAGAUCUCAUUUUAUCUCCCUAUUUCUCUUCUCAAAGGUACACGGACUUGUAAAUCCACAUAUUUCAUUGCUAAUCUUGUUUCCUAUGACUAUUUAUCCUCGAUGUCUAGAUCUUGAUUAUCUCUCUAGAUUCUAUCUUUUAACAUAAAAUGGUGAGGGAGGCUUUGAAUUAUCCUAGAUGGUAUGUUGCGAUGCUUGAGGAAAUAUAUGUCUUAGAGGAAAACCGCAUAUAGGAUUUGGUGGCUUUACCCAACGGAAAGAAACCAGUGGAAUGUAAGUGGGUGUUAACUAUUAAAGUUAAUCUAUAUGGUUCUAUGGCAAGAAUUAAGGUUAGGCUUGUGUCUAAAGAUGCUCAGACAUAUGGAGUGGAUUAUUCCGACACCCUUUCUUUCGUUGCUAAACUUUUUCCAGUUUUCUUAAUCAUUUAUCUAGCUUCUUUAAAGAAUUGUCCUUCAUAUCAAUUGGAUAUCAAGAAUAAUUUCCUUCAUGGUGAUCUUCAAGAGGAAGUAUAUAUGGAUCACUUACCUUGUUUUCUUUCUCAAGGAGGGUAUGGGAAAGUCUGUCAUUGAAAGAAGUCUUUGUAUGGCUUGAAACAGAGUCCUUGGGGUUGGUUUGGCAAGUACAGUGAGGUAUUUCAAGAGUUUGGGUUGAAAAUGAGAAAAUGUGAUCACUUAGUUGGCAAUCAACAACUGGCCCUAUCCUUCUUAUUGUAUAUUUUGAUGAUAUUGUCAUCACAUGAAGUGAUUAUACGGGGAUCUCUUCCCUUAAGUCUUUCCAGCAUGCUAGGUUUUAUAAGAAAUACUUAGGUCAGUUAAGUUACUUUUUGGGAGUAGAAGUAUGUAACAACAAGAAGGGAUUUUUUCUAUCUUAGAGAAAGUAUAUUCUUGACCUACUUGCAGACACCGGAAAGUUGGCAGCCAAAUCUUGCAAUACUCUAAUGGUUCCCAAAGUGCAUCUUAUGAAAGAUUAUGGUGUUCUUUUUGAUGAUCCUGAGUAAUACAGAUCUAAUUGGGAAAUUAAUUAUUGUGACUCGUCUGGAUAUUACUUUUGUGGUAAGUGUUGUUAGCCAAUUCUUGUAUGUGCUUACGAUCAAGCAUUGGGAAGCCUUGACACAGAUUCUAUGUUACUUGAAAUGUGCCCUUGGACUUGGCAUAUUGUAUAGCAAUCACAAUCAUACCCGUAUUAAGUGUUCUGCAGAUGCGGAGUAUGUUGGAUAAAAAAUUGACAGGAGAUUGACUAUAGGGUAUUUCAUCUUUGUUUGAGUUGAUCAUUUUUGUAACAAUAGUUGGGUCAUGAUCAAUAUAUAUGCUCUAACUUUAGGGGGAAUGUUAUAGAAUAUGUAUAUAGACUUCAUUCCUAGUAAAGCACAUAGCCUUAUUUAUAUAGAAGAUUUAUAGGAAUUAGCAGAUUUGUAGGAAUUAUCUUUUAUUUCUUUCCUAAGAUUGAACACAAUCUAUUGUAUUUACACAUUGCUUACCCAUUGAAAUAAAUAAUCUUCUUCUAUAUGAUUACAAUAUUAAUUGUUUCAGACCUACUUAUAAGCUAAGAAAUGAACUGCAAUAAACAAACACAGUCAUAAUGCAAUAACAGGAAAGACAUCACAUUAUUCCAUAGAGUUCCAAGCAGCCAUGAAUGCAUACAGAGGGAGUUUUAAAAUGUGAAGUGACAGCUAUGAAGUUUCCAUUAACCUUAAACACAGAGAGGGUAAGAAUAAAAUUGUAACCAUACUUUAAUAUCUAUUUUUCCAGUUAAGAUAUAUGUGGUUAUGCUAGUCUUACAAAGUAUAAAGUAUAAAGUAUCAUAUUUGGAUGGUGCGCUGGCAUUUGGGGUGGCAUUGUGCACAACUUCUAAGGUGGUAGAGAACUUGUGAAAUUAAUUGUGUCAGUGCAAAAUUCCUGUUCAAGAGAUGAACGAUAAUAAGCAAAGGCAACCAUAUUGAAAUAACAUGAAAUGCAUAUAAUUAUAAAGACUAUCCAAUAAAAUUUCCAAGACUCCAGCUCUAUUGAGGCUUCCUAUGUAAAUUGAGGUAAACGAGAGAUGUUGAAACUAAUUAUUUGUAGAGUUAAUGGAAAGGGAAAAAUAUAUUGUUAGGGGUAUUUAGGGAGCGGCAAAGUGGAAAAUGUUUGGGGAGUGGGGAAAAUUACAGCAGUUGGUGUGUUUUUAAAAUCCUCAGGACGAAAAUACAUUGUAUGGGAAAGAGCUUAACAUUUCAAUAAAAGGAAAAGAAUGUCAUAUCAAAGUGGUGGGGCUCUAUUCUGUUGUAAAGAACAAACAAGGUGGUUCAAUAGGAAGAUGGUAGAAUUCGGGGUAGAGCAUAAUGAGAGACUUUGAUGGGACAACAAUAAAGCAAAGUUUGUGCAAGCAGGAAUGCAGGUUACCCGGAUGAUCCUUAGCGGGUGUGGCUGGUGCAUUGGAAGAAGUAGAAGCCUUCAUUGGUAAUCUGAGAAUUUGUUUGAUUGUAACACCUACUAAUUUAAUGAUGGGUUGAUGAAAAGAACUAAUCUGAGAAUUAGGGUUCUAGAAUUUGUUCCAUCAAAGGCUUUCAGAUUUAAUUCACUGUUCAAUUUAGGUCGUUGCUUUAGAUAGAUGGAGAAGAUGGCAACAUCAGUUGAAGGAGUUUGUCAUGAGGCAAGUGAUUUGAAAUCCUAGGGAUCAGAGCUCAGGAAAAUUGGAUCUAUAUGAAUUGAUCUUACUCAUCCAUUGCCAUCGAUAGAGAAUCGAGACUGCCAACAUUUUUCAAUACGGUUAGUCUCUUUUGUUAUCUUGUGUACAUUGAAUUAGUUUGUGCUUUUUUCUUUUUCCCUUUUUUCACUUAAUUAAGUCAUACAAAAUCAUUGCUAUGAUUGCUUAAUUAUACGCAUGAGUUAGUUCUCCUUUUGUUGUUUCACUUACACUAUUAAUUCCAAGAUGUGUAUGUAUUUAUGUAUUAAUUCCACUUUUUUUUAAUAAAGGAAGUGACUAGUUCUGAGAUAAUAACUAGUAGUUGAGUGACCAUCUGAAAUAUUAAUUCAUUAGAUCAGACAAGGAAAUAAUCCAAUAAACAGACAUGGAAAUAAUCCAAUACAUUUGUUGGUCAUUCUUCAUGAUACAGUUGAUAUAUUGCUGAGGUGAGAAAAAAGGACAUGAUUAUUUGUUCACCUUUUGGAUCACACAGUAAUCCCGGGAAGAAACUUCCUCAUCUAGAUGUUCCAAAACAAAAAUGGUGGUGGUGUGAUGCAAUUGCAUCCGUAAGUUUAUAGCUAAUGGAAGUGCAUUAGACGAAAUUGGUGAAGCAUUUGUGUAUACUGUCUCUACUAAUGCAGCUACUGAGGUAAUAGUAUCUAAGUAAUGCUCAACUGAUCAAGAAACAAAACCAAACAGCUUAGGUAAUUUAUAGCAUACGUCAAUACAGUCUUCAGAUUUUGUACUUGUUCAUAUAUUGCAGGUAGAAUUGACAAUGUUUCUUUUGGUUUUAAAAAACAGAUGCUAAUUUGUUGAACAUCAGAACAAAUAGUAAGGAAAAUACUCUAAAAAUGUACAAUGAAUUGCUUCAAAUACUUCAUAUCAAAUAAAAGUGCUUGGUAGUAAACAAAAGGUUAUUAAUCUGACCAAUGUAAAUGUUCGUGGAUUACCUUCUCUUGGAUCGACAAAGAGAUUGAUCAAACAUCGAAGGGAGAAGAUAAUCUGAAUUUGGCAGAAAAUAGAUGAUGUGAUUUGCAUGAGGAUAUUGCAAUGAUCUAAAGCUUCAGAGAACUCCAAGGUUGCGCUUGAUGAGUGACUUUCUGAGUGGAAAAGUCAAUUUGAAGAGGAGUUGUGCGAAAGUAGAAUAUUUUUUCGUGAAUAUCAUGCCCAUGGAGCCCAAUACAGUUGGUUUUGAACCCAAGGAUGAGGAUAUCAAGAUCUCCUAAAAGAAGAGGAAUAUGUCUCAAUGAGGUGGUUGCAGGUCAAGGAUGAAUAACUUAGAUGGUAAGAUGUCUAAAGGAUUGAAGGUGUAUAAUCAAAAUCAAAAAGCUAUGACAAGCUCUAUGGAAAUUGGAGUUACUAAUUCACAUCCAAGAUAGAAUGUAUUUAACAGAGAACAAUGUCAUCUAUAGAAUGAUAGCAAAAGUGUUAAGAUUAAGAAUACAAGAGACCUUGGAGUAAGUAGAAAGAAACAUAAGCAGCAAGUUGAAGUUGUCAGUGGAUAUUCUCUUCAAAUCCCCUUGAAAGGAAGAAAAACAGUAGUCUUGGCACUAAUUGAUUUGGUGCUAAUAUUCUAUUUCAAUCAUCAUAUGUUGCUAUAAGUACAAUAAAAGUUGAACAUCAUUUGAGGAAUAACAAUGAAUCAUCGCAUGGAAUAUAAAGGGACUCUGAUUGGAGCAAGCUUCUCAAAGAUAGACAUGUCUCUUCUCAUAUGAUCAAUGUGGUUGCAGACAAGACUUUACAAAGAGAAAUUUUAUCAAAAGGGAUAGAUGUUGUACAAAUGCCGAUUGGUAUGGGAAUGGUGAAUUUUCAGCCAAUGAAGAAGAUAUCUUCUAAAGAGAAGUUAGACAAAACUUUAAGCACCUUUAAGGGUGCUUAGAAACAUGUUGAAAAUGACAAUCCAAAGCAAGAGCAUGCCAAAUCGGCCAUUGAUGCUACAGAAGGGAAAUAAUAAUGGUAAUGUCUUAAGUCAAAUGUGGUUGAAUUGGAUCACUUUAAGAAAACGAGUGAAUCCUAUUAAAUACAGUCAAUUGUUCCUGAGUCAGGUCGCUUUUUAGGAUGGUUCACUCUUUGUAGGAAAGAGUGAACUAACUCAGGCAUAAUUGUCUGACGUAUAAUAGGGUUCAUUCCUUUUCUUUAAUAUUGGAAUGAUUCAACCACAUUUGACCUAAGAGGAUCACCACUAUUAUUGCUCUUCUAUAGAGUUAAUGACCAAUUAAUUGGUAUGCUCUUGCUUGGAGUGUGUCAUUUCCUACAUGUUUCUAAGCACCCCUAAAGUUGCUUAAAGCUUGGUCUAACUUCUGCUUAAAAGAAAUCUUUUUCUCUGGCUGAGAAGUCACCAUUCCCAUACCAUUCGACAUUUGUACAACAUCUAUCCCUUUUGAUAAACUCUCUUUGUAAAUUCUUUUUUGCAACCACAUUCAUAUGAUAAGAUGCAUGUCUAUCUCCGACCAACUUCCUCAAAUUAGAGUCCCUUUCUUUUCCAUGCGAUGAUCAAUUGUUAUUCCUCAAAUGACGUUCAACUUUUAUGGUACUUAUGGAAACAUGUGAUGAUUGAAACAGAAUAUUAGCAUCGAAUCCUUUAGUUCCAAUACUGCUCUGUUUCCCUUCCAAUGUACGAAGAGAACAUCACCAACAACUUGAGUUUGUUGCUUAUGUUUCUUUCUACUUACUCUAGAGUCCUUAUCACCUGUAUUCUUAAUCUUCACACUUUUGCCACCACUCUGUAGAUGACUAUUGUUCUCUAUCAAAGACAUUCUCUCUUGGACGCAAAUCAGUAACUUCAAUUCCAUGGAACUUCUUAUAGCUUUUUGAUUUUGACUAAACACCUUCGAUCCUUUAGGCAUCUUACUAUCUAUGUUAUUCAUCUCUAACCUACAAUCGUCUUCUUGAGACAUAUUUUAUUUUGAAAAAUAUUGAUAUCCUCAUCAUUAGGUGCAACACCAACUGUAUCUGGCUCAACAAGCAUGGUGUCCACUAAAAAAAUUUCUACAUUCGCUCUACUCCUCUUCAAAUUAACUUUUCCACUUAGAAAGUUACUCAUAAAGCGCAACUUUGGAGUUCUCUAAUGCUUUAGAUUUUUUGCAAUAUCCUCAUGCAAAUCACAUCGACUAUAUUUUGCCUAAUUUACGUCAUCUCCCUUAGAUGUUUCAUAAGUGAUUUUACUCAAUCCAAGAGUAUGUAAUCCAUGAACCUUCACAUUGCUCACAUUAACAUUAUUUUCUUUGCUAGCAAGCCCGAUGACUCUUUCAAUUUUGAGAGCCUUUUCAUUUCUCUGAAUUAAUUUCGCUUUUUCUAUUCUAUGAAUUAUUUCACUAUCACUACUGUCUACACAUCGUCUUUCAUGAGGAACUAAUUUUCCAUUUCCAUCAUUUAAAGGAAUUGUCUCAGUAUUUGUUCUGAAGUUCAACAUCUAACAACUAUUUCUAAAAGCAAAAGCAACAUAUCAAUUUUGCCUGCAAUAUAUAAACAAGUGCAAAAUAUAAAGAUUGUCUUGAAUGAUCUAAAUUUCCUGGGGUGUUUGUUUUUAUUCCUUGAGUUGAGCAUUACUUAGAUAAUAUCACCUCGGUAGUUGCAUUAGUAGAGCGAGUGCACACAGACGCUUCACCAAUUUGUCUCUUUCUCUUUCAUCAAUUAUAACCUUAUGAAUGCAAUUGUCACACCACCAUCAUUGAUAUUUUGGAAUAUCUAGAUGAGGAAGUUACUCCUCGGAGUUACUGCCUUAUCCAAAAGGUGAACAAAUAAUCAUAUCCUUCUUUGUAAUUUCAAAAAUAUCUCAAUUGUUUCACAAAUAAAAGACCAACAAAUAUAUUGGAUUAUUUCCUUGUCUAAUCCAAUGGAGGGGUUAAUUCCUCAAGUGGUCACUCAACUACUAGUUAUUAGCUCAGAAUUAAUCACUUGCUUUAUUGAAAAAUGAAAUCAUUAAGAAAGAUGACUAUGUUGGAUGUAUUUGGUGAUAGGCACUAUGAGUUUCUCAUAACUUGACUUUUAUUAUAUCAAAGUAAGGACAUGCUUCGGUCUUAGAAUCUUGAUCACUCACUUGUUACUUGUUUCAACAACAUUCUAUACUAGAACACUCACUCUUGUUUGCUAUCUUGAUUACUUUCUUUCUUGAUUUCUUACUUAGUUACAUAUCAAAUGGACUACCUCUAUUUAUAGGAGGUGAUGGAAGAAUCUAGAGAGAUAAAUACUACUUACUCUCUCCUAGAAUUUUAUUAGAUAUCUUUUUCUAGAACAUUUAUAGACUUUCUUAUCUAGAAUACUCAUUCUAGAGAUCAUUCUUCAAUUCUCUACAACUCUGAAAGAUUCUAGAUUUUUCUUAACUCAUCUUAAAUAAAUAAUUAAUUUUUGAUGAAUUCUUAAUACUCCCUCUCAACACCAACUUAAUGUUAUCUUUGCUUUCGUUGUGAGCUAUUCCUAAAACUCUGCAACCAUCAUGACAUUCAUGCCCUUUGAGAAUCUUCAUCUUUGUUGGAUUAUUCUGAUCCCUACUCUUUGAAGCUUAUUCAAAGGCAGUAGGCUCUUUAAUAUUGACCACGUUUGCUAAUGUUGCAUCAAUAUAUUUGGCGUUUGAGCAUUUCACUCGUGCCAUCCUUUUUAGUUAAGGUUGCAAAGAUUCUUGGAGUCUUUCUUGCAACUAUUCUAGAGUUUCAUGUACUCUAGUUUUCCAUGGACUCAUAUUUUCACAUUUUGAAGAUAUCUUCUCUGUAUGUGAAUUAUAUUAUUCACAUAUCUCUAGUUCUAGUUCUGCCUCACCUCCUUGUCCUUCUUCUUCAAGUUUAUGUUGUAGCUUUUGCUCCAAUUCAUUGUUAAUCUGGCGGGGAAACUUCUUUGAACUACCAUGUUGGUGCUUUAUCAACUACCGCAUAAGUCGUUAUGGAUGGCAUAACAUAGAUUAACUUUCAGUCUAAAAACUUGAGAUAGUUGCUUGUGAGAAACUAUCUGAACAUAGAUUGCACUGGCAAAGAAGAGGAGGACCUUAUUACCUUGUCACUGUAACAAAGAAGAGGAGAUUGCACUUGCAACUUUAAGUGAGAAACUAGUCGGUUAUGAAAAUGAAUAGUGAUGAGAUAAAGUUGAUCAACAUGAGCGAGUACAAAGGUGGUCAAGUAGUGGUGACCGCAAAUAAUUCAAAAAGGCCAAUAACUCGUAUUAGCAAAACGAUGUUUGUGUCACAUCAGAGCUCAACACAAGCGGAACUUCAAAAUAUCUACCAUGUUCUAGGUAUAAAAAGAACUUACUUUUGUGUCAUAAAACUUAUUAUAUGUGUCACAAUUAAUAGCUUAGGAAACUACGUUGUGUUCAGAUAGGAUGACUUAAAGGUAUAUCAAAGCUUAAAAGUAACAAGUCCGCUAAAGAUUUAUGAGAAACUAUCGCUAACAUAGAUAACAUGUCACUCUAACAACUUGAGAUAGUUGCUUGUGUUCAGAUAGUUGCUUGUGUUGAGAUUCUCAACGCUAUUGAAAGUGCUUGUAGCGUCCAAUAGUAGCUUGUAGGAUCUCCUUUCCUUUGAGUUUCUACCUUUCUUUAUCCAUCAGACUCUCUGGUACCACUUGUUGUUUAUUUUUGGUUAAAGGACACAAUUUAUUGCUCACAACUUAUAUUUUAUUAUUGUAAAGUAAGGAUUCACUUCGGUCCUACAAUUGUUACGCACAAUAUUUCUUGCAAUCACACUCUAUCAGCUCUCUCUUAUUUCUCACGCACUUGUUGUUUGCUAUCAUGCUUACAUGCUUUGAGAACUUACUUUCUUACUUGGUUACCAAUAAAUAUGGACCACCUCUAUUUAUAGGAGGUGAUGGAAGAAUCUAAAGAGAGAUACAUACUACUCUCUUCUAGAAUAUUCCUAGCUAUCUUUUUCUAGAAUUACCUUUUCUAUAAUAUUUCUAGACUUCUCUCUCUAGAAUACUCAUUCUAGAGAUCUUCCUUCAAUUCUCUACAACUCCGGAAUAUUCUACAUUUUUCUAGACUCGUCUUAAAUAAAUAAUUAAGUUGGUGAUGAAUUCUUACAGACUAGAUAAAAUAAUAACUAUUAGUGUAGUUGAGUGAUCGACUAAGAAAUCAACCCACUAAUAGAGGAAAGCAAAUUGAAUCCUUUCACAGAAGCCCCUUAUAUUUUUAUCUAGAUAUGAAUAGUACUGUGGGGAAAAAAAGGGAACUUGCUCACGAGUAUCAUGAAGAGAGAACUAAAGCUAGCUUCAAUACACAAGCCUAAGUAAACUUCCAAAUCUAAUGAAUUUGAAAACAGAUUAUGCAAAUGCAAGAGGAGGAAUAUGCAAUGAUUAGUUAAUUCACAAUAAUUAUAAGAUCACCCAAAGAUAGUCAAUACAUACAUACACAUCUUGGAUAGUCAAUACAUACAUACAUACACAACUUGGAAUUAAUAAUAUAAGUGAAACAACAAAUGGAGAACUCACUCAUGCAUAUAAUUAAGUGAUAAGAUUGAUUUUAAAUGAAUUAAUACUUGGAAAUACUAAUUGAGUGUACACAAGAUAACAAAAGAGACUAAACAUAUCAAAAAAAUGAUGGCAGUUCUCAUUCUGUAUCAAUGACAAUGGAAGAUUAAUAUAAAUAAAUAUACAAUUACCUUGAGCUCUGAUCCUGAGGAUUUUGAAUCACUUGCCUCGUGACAAGCUCCUUCAACUAUGAUUGUCAUCUUGUCCAUCUAUUUAAACGACAACCUAAAUUGAAAUUUCAAUAAGAAAUUUGGAGAUAUUGUCACAUGUAUUUUCAAGAUAAAAAUUAAUUGGUAUACCUACUCAAAUAAAUAUUAUUUGUAUCAAAUCUUGAACAUAUCAUCAAAGAUAUAAAUAAAUUUAGUUUGUAUGCACUUAUUAAUUCAAAGUUAUUUGAUACAAAAUCUAAUAUAUUUGAUGCAAUAGCAAUUACAUGAUUAACACACACUAAUAUAUACACUCCAUUUUAGUGAGUUAAGUUUGAAAGCCUUUAAUGGAAUAAAAUUUAGAACCCUAACUCUCAAAUUUGUUCUUUUCAUCAACCCUUGCCUUAAAUCAACAAGUGUUACAAUCAAAUAAAUGCUUGAACAAGCUCAAUGAGCCGACCAUAUAACAUAUAACAAUUGAUUUGAAGCUAUUUAGGGUUUUCUAAGCGAAUUCACUUGAAUUGGCAAGGUAUAAAAGCUAAAGCUUAAAAAAAUUCCAAAAUUCACUUAAAAUCGUGAUAAUGCAAUCAAGGUUGCCAAAUUCAUAUUAGAUAUAAAUACAAGUCAUUCAAAACAAUUCAAAAGCCAAAUUAUGAUUUUUUACGGCACCUAUGAUUUUGAUACACCCAAAAAAUAAACUUCAUAGAUAAUAAAAACAAAGAUAUAACCAUAAUCAUAGUAAAACUAUAAGUAAAACAAAACCCAAAAAAGUACAAAAAAAAUAAAAAAAAAAUAAACAACAACGAAAAAAAAGAGAAACACAAAAUUAAUAAAUGACAUCACAAAAAGCGUUACCUUUCAAGAGAAAUCAUAAAUACAAUCACUAAUAAAGAAACCAACAAAAAUGAAAAGGAAUUAAAUUUUAAAAAAUCAUAAAUAAAGAGAAAAGAUAUAUUUUUCACCUGAAUUGAGAUCUCAAAUUAGAUGAAGAACAAACUUGAUCCAAGGCUAAAGCACCCAGAUAAGGAGGCAAAGAUGAUGAUUCAUCCAAGGCGGGAGCAUUUCAGGUUAUCAGGUGAAAGGAAAGGGGAGCUAAGUGGAGUGGCGGAUGAGGAAACCCUAAUCUAAAGGGACAUGUAUAUAGGGAUAAAGUUGACGGCCUAUCGGGGAUGGGCUGGCCUUUUACUUUGGUUUUUUUUAUUGGAUUUGUGUAAAAGGCCUAAAUUUGAGAUGUACUGAUUUCCUAAUUUAUUAAAAAGAAACUACUUUCACCCAAAAAAAAAAUAGAUCUCAAGAUUAGAACAACACCCACUUUUCAACAUAAAAUGAAGAACUAAAAACAUCCAGAUUAAUUCGAAUGGAAUUCAAGGUUGAAAUAAAUAGAAAACCCUAUGAUUUAUAGAGAGAGUGAGUGAAACACUCAGACAAAUGCUAGAGAAAGUAUGACAUGUGAGAAAAGAUUUUUUAAGACAACAUUUUUCCUACAAAAUAGAGAGUCCUAAAUGUGAUUAAAAAGUUAUUUUAAGUAUUAAAUAAUUAAUGUAAUCAUUUUUUUAUUUUUUUUUGCAAUAAAAAGGUGUAAAUAGAUAAUCAUCAGUGAAAAUGUGAAGAAAAUAAUAAUUAAAAGCUGGUUUUCUUUAAAAAGAUGUAAAUAUUUAAAACUUUAUUAACUAUUACCUACCUUAACUAUUUUGUCGUAAAACUAGCACAUGUUGUCAUGUCUCGAGCAUACACCGUGGGGUGGCCAGCAUUCAGAAUCAUUCUUUGGCCUGACUUACUACUAUACUAAAUAUUAUGACACUAUGCUAAAGUUUUUAAAAGAUAAGCAUGCAAUAUGUUUAGAAAACAAACUCAAAAACUUUAUAGAUGAAAUCUUAAUAAUAAAUAUAUUUGUAAACCAACUGAACUAUGACUCAACUGACUCAUCUAUGAAGCCUUUGACAUGCUAAAGAUAGGUUGUCGGGACAAGACCUCCGGCUACCUGAAUACUAUACUAAUAACAUAUGCUAACUACUACUGCUCAAGAUAAACUGGAUCCAUCCGAAGGCAAGGAUGUCUCACCAAUGCUUGAUGAAAGUGAUCCUACUAAUGUGUCUGAUGACUAUCCUGAAUACCUGAAUCUACAUUAUAAAAUAAUGCAACACUGAAUGAUGUAUGUACAUGGAACGUACGGUAUGUGAAAUCGACGAAUGAAAUAACUAGUUAAAUCUGAGCAUACCGAGCUAACUGUAGAACCUCAUAGACUAAAACAGAAAUUAACUACAUAAUAAAACAUAUAUGUGUACUUUAUCAACAAAUCUGACUCGUGGUUGCCGGGCGAUUUUGGGACUCUCUGAAGUUUUCCAUGUGUGAUAGUAUGGGUCGUACUAUCAAAGUACGAGUCAUACUCUAACUCGUAGUGCUUUGGAAUGAAAUUUUUAGAUUGAAGUGUCUCUAGUAAAACGAUCAUAACUUUAAUUUUUACUCAAGAACUGGAUUCAAGAAUGGUUAUGGAGUUUGAAAGAUGACUCAAAGACAUUUAAUUUAAUAAGUAGAGGGACAUAAACUCUUCAUAUUCAAAGAAAUAUGAUCAUUUGAAGUUUACUCUUGCAUUGUCUUAUGCAAAAGCUUAAUCGGUAGAGAAUAUUUGAGCUCAACUUUGUGCUAGAGGUUCCUUCUGACUCUUGUAUGCACCUAAAGUUUCGUUCCUAAAAUACAGCAAAUAGGAAAAGAAAAUAGCAGGAAAACAAUAGUAUUUCUAUUUGAAUUUGUGCGAUGUUACAAUCUUUAUGAAGUCUUUUAGAAAAGAGAUGUAAUCCCCUGAUUCUUAACUUUACAAUUGUUCUUGACUCGAUGAAAUACUUGUGGCUCAACACUUGGAGCGAAGACUUCUUUGUAUGCGGAAGACUUGCAUAUCACCGCUUAAGAGCAAGGAUUCUCUAUGUAGUUUCGUGUCCUUCUGGUCUUAUUUGAAGACCCCUUUAUAUAGACAUGAGCUAGUGUUUUAGGGGUAUUUUGGUCCAAGUAAUUUAGAGGACCUUGGGCUUGAAGAAUGUGAGUUGGGUUCGUCUUGUAAACUUAAUGGAGUGACCCAAAUAUAAUAUUUGAACUUUAUUCGAGUCAUAUCAUUUUGACUUAAAACAUUAAUCCAAAUUUAUUAACCAAUAAUUUGACUUGGUCAACGUAUCAAAAUUUAUGAUUUAAUCCAAAUUUAAUAUGGAUUUAUCAAUAAAACUUCGUUGUCUACACCCUUAAUUCAUAUUAUACACAUCUCAAAAUUAGGAAUUGAUCUUAACUUAGAAAUUUUCAAAGUAUUACACAUGCAUGUCUUGAUAAAAGAUAUGUAUCAUAGAAAAUAUUAUAUGCUGAGAAUAAUAAAGGAAAAGAUUCUCUUCAUUCAAUUAGAUUUUGUUUACCAAGUAAUUCAGAAGCCUUUUUUUAAAAUCUAAUCAAUUCCCAAUUUACUGCCAUAACUAAUCAGUUCAACAAAAUAUUUAAUAAAAACCUAUGAUACAGUUUAAAAUAUUUUCCACAAACACAUGAUCUCCAUGAGGCAUACAUAAAGAGAUGUAUCAAACGAAUAUUUUAUUGAAGGAAAUUGGAUCAGGUCAUCCAUGUGGAUCAACUAAACGAGCUUCACCUCCAACUAUUGCUCCUCUCUCUCUGCCCAAACUCAAGAAACAUAAAAUCAUAUCAAAAUAAACAUUUCGACGUGUUAUCUAACCUGAAAAAAAUGAAUCACGAUCACCAUUGAGAUUUUUUCAUUUAUGCUGCUCUCUAUUGACAAAUCCUUUAUGGAUGCAAGUUUAGUCAAAACAUUUGUGAUAGCACUUUGCAUUAUCCGGAAAUGAUAUAGGAAGAGAAAUGAUAAAGUCUACUUUUUUGUAAUAAGGAAACCACAAACAUACCCUAAGUGACAUGUUGUUCUUUUAUCAUUAUUAUCUACCAAAGAUUUAAUACAAAUAGUAGAAGGAGUAGAACAGUAGAAUGUUCUAUCAUACAAACAUCCUUAAACAUAUGUAUUAAAAUCAAUGAAAACCCUUUUAGUGGCGAUAUUCUGAAAAUUUGUGGCGACAAUGUUGUCGCCGCUAAAGGUCCAGUCCUACUUGCCCACAAUUAGGUGGAGGGCUUAGUCUCAUGUGGCUUGCCACGUCACUAAAAAUUUGGGUUGUUAACUCUUGAGGGUAUUUGUGGUCUCUUGGGAUAACAGUGGGGGCACUUUUAUCCCAAAAUGUAAUAGAGGGUAUAAGUAGUCUAUUUCACAUAGUUCACAGGAAAUUUUAACCCUUUUCUGUACAUUUUAUUAAUGAAUUUCAUCUAAAAAUAUAAAACAUUGAUAAUAUCUGAAUUGCCCAAAUGGGAGAUAAGUGUUACUCAAAUUGCUUAUGGGUUUUGCUUUAGGGAAGUCUCUGGAGAGUAUAAAGUAUUGAGAUUAGUUGAUAGAAAGGUUCAGGAUGAUACUAGAGCUUCAGAAUUGGAGGUUUAUACUCUUGGAGUUUAUGAGAAAUGGAGAAAUGCGGAUGAAAUUCCAUGUUCUGUAUGGUAUGAUUUUGGCAAGGCUAACGCCAAUGGUGCUCUUCAUUGGAUGGAGAGCGAAAAAACUAACUGCAUUUACUCCUUCGAUGUUGAGACAGAAAAGAUCAAGUCCCUGCCUGCUCCACCUGGUUUGGAAACUCCAUCCUCGAACUUGAGGCUAGCAAAGUUGGGGAACUGUUUGUGUUUGACUGAUAAUAUCCACAGAUGGAAUGUUAAUAUUAAUAUAUGGUGGAUGAAAGAGUAUGGCAUUGCAAAUUCUUGGACUAAAACUAGCAUUUUGGUGGAAUCUAUUCCGCGUGGUAUGGUUAACUAUAGUUUUGAACCGAUAUUUAUUUGGAAAGAUGGAGAAAUCUUGUUUCAAAGUCGCUCAAAACUAGCUUGGUACAACCCAGAAAUGAAGACGUUCAGGGUGGUUAAUGUUGACGGUGAUGUCAUUACAUCAACUAAAUACACUCCAAGCUUUUAUUCGCUCAAGACUAUCAUGGGGGACGACUUUCAAGUCACAAAUGUUUAUCCGAAGACUGCGAUAGUUUAGAGUAGUUGUUUUUAUCUUAUUUCCAUCGGAAUAUGAUGUUUUGCUUUUGUACUUCUGAUAUAAACUUUUACUCUUUUGUGGAUGUUUUUGAAUUCUCGAUAGAGAAAUAUUAAUAAGUAAUUACUAUUUUGUAUUAUGAAUAUUUGAUGAAAUUGAUGGUUUUUGGAAACAGAUGGUGUAAGGUUUUCUUUUAUGUUGUUAAUACUAAGGUAACUAGUAUACAUACCCGAGUGAUGCGCGAAUAAUAUUUAAAGUAAUCAUUUCACAUUGUGGUCUGAUUUGUCAGAGCACACUCAAUUAUAUUGCAUUAACUAAAAUUUAUCUGCCAUCUUAUUUCUAAUUACAAUUUAUAUACCCAAUAACACUUUGGAAUGAAUGUUACUCAUGUCUAAGUGAGUGUGUUUGCACAGGCAAAUGAAACAUUUAUUGAACCUGAGCUCCAUCAAAAAAAAAUUAGACUCUUCAAUAUUCUUUAUAAUUGGUAAUAAGAACUCUUAAUUGAUUUUCUAAGUUAGUUAUUUUUUGCGUAAAAAAUAUAUACAUCAUAUGUGUAGAACUUAAACACUUUUUCCUAUUAGUUUCUAGUGAACGGACACAACUACAGCAUUUUUGUUAUAAAGGUUCUGGGGAAAUUUAUACAUCAUCACUCAAAGAAUCAACCUUUAAAUACAAACAGAGUUAUAACUAAGGAAAAGAGAUCCAAAAUAAUCUCAGAAAUUCCUACAAAUUUGAUGUAAUAUUAUAUACAAAGACACUACAUAUUAUGUAACACUCUCCUCAAAUCGAACAUUGAUGUUAAUUAUAUCCAACUUUAUAUAAACAUAUUUCCCUCAUGCUUCAUUUUCAACUUUCAUAAAUAUAUACCAAAUUACUCUCUUGCCUUAUUCUUCGUCGGAUGAACCCCUUGACAUACUGCUAACUUCGCCCACUGGUUAGUCCUUACUUAGCAAUAAUAAAAUUAAAGUUGUAAGCAAACAGUUGUGUCCAACAUCUCAAUAGAUACUUCUUUUGAUCCAGGCCACCACUCUUACUGGUUGGUCAUAACUAGCACCCCUCUUUGUUCUAGUCUACCACUAUUGGCAUCCUACCAAGAUAUUACUUUGAGUCAUGGCUUCAAGCGUUAAUAAAUCUACUCUAAUACAAUUUUUUAUUGACCAGAUAAUACACUCCCUCUCUAUGAAUUCUGCCAUUAAUGCUUGGCAGGUGCUCCAAAGCUUUGAGAUUGAACACCGAUCACUGAACUUGAUAUGGUAUCAAUGCCACUAUCGGUACUUAGAGUUUUUAAGUCUAGUUACCUCUAAUUUAGGUACCUUUGUAGCUAUUAUUAGAUAUUUUUUGCAUUUUCUCAAUUCGCAGAAAUUACGUGUUACUUUGCUUACUUCCACUGAUUUUACAAUGGCAAUUUCCCUUAUGCAUCUUUGCCCUCUUCUAAUUCCGUCCACAGUUGUUAAUGAGAGUGAUCAUCUAUACAUCCAUCCCUCAGAUAGCCUGGGUUAAUGCUUGUUCAGUUUCCUUUUGAUGGAAUGGGAUAUCGAUCCUGGAGAAGAAGCUCAUGUGAUCCUUCUCCGUGAAGAACACUUAAGGAGGUCAUAAUACAAGAGACUAUGUCUUAAUCUUCAGAAGAGGUUUAAUACAUGUCAUUGAGGAAAGUUGUUGGUGAGCUUGUUUGGGUGGACAUACUUUUGCCAGAAUUGGAUGUUCCUUUUUCUAAACCUAUUGCGGUACAUUUUGAUAGUCAAAUAUAUCCUACACAUUGAUUUUUUCAUGAGAAAACCAAACAUAUAGAAGUUGACAGUAAUUUAGUUCGAAAUAAGCUCAUGUGAUCUUAUUUCUGUAACACCCCGUAUCUGAAACAGACCAAAAUGUAGAUUUUGAGAAGUUGCAUGUGCAACCCACGGUUGCCACCUAAACUUGUUUUAAGACUUGAGUGAAUGAGUAAGAUAAUGAGGAGAGUUGAGUUUCAUGUUUCAAAAUGAGUAUAAGAGAACUAAGUAUUCCCAACUGUAAACUCUUUUACAUUUAAAACGAGAGGAAACUUUAAUUUCUAAACAAGUUCAUGAAGAGUUUUUGAGUAGUAUCUCUUUUAAGAAAAUCUUUUGAGUAAUUAUCUCAAGUCCAGGAUGAGUUAUGUUUUUAUACAUUUGAGCAUGAGUUCUACAUAUUAUUGGGAGUAGUAUUGAGCACCGAUAUGGGGAUGAGUUCAGACAACUCAAAAUCCUCAUAAACCAUAUAUGCUAACAUGGGUAAAAGAUCGUACUUUCCAGAUGAUUCCUUAUUGCUUUUAAGCAUAGCUUAGUGGAUCCACUUAGUUGAGGAUCUUCUAUACCUCAGCAAGGUAUAGGACACUUUUGACAGUGUGGACGUGAUAUUGUAUCAUCACGUAGAUCAUAGUGAUGGUUGUCGGUUAGAGAAUCUCCCAAAUAAGAGUAAGUAGUUUAUUAUUAUAUUUUUAUAUACAUUUGAGUUAUUAUCUACUCUUUUAAAAGCUUUAUAUAUUGCAUCUUUUAUUGUUUCUUUCAUAUUGAGUUGAGGUGAAUAUGUUUUCCCUUUUUAUCAGUUCAACUAUAUAUCCCUAUGUUCAGUUUUCCUCUUGCAUGCUCGUACAUUCAAGUGUUCGAUAUCAUCAACCGGAUCUUCGUUGAUCCCAUCGCAUUACAGCUAGCUUGGUGAGCCUCCUUACUUUGGGAGGGCUCCACCAUUAGAUUCUAGUUGUGUUAGGAUGUUAUGGGUAAUGUCCCUACUCCCAUCAUAGUAUUUAGAGGCUUCAUAGAAUAUAGUAGUUAAGGGGUCUUUUCCCAUUUUCCUUGUGGGUUGCACACCUAUGUUCAUUUGAGUAUUUCAGAUAGUUUUGAGUUAAACCAUUUUAUUAAUGAGACAUUAUGAGUUGAGUUUUGCAUUUGAGUUCCUAAAUAGUUGAGUAAGUCUUCCACUGAGUAUUGAGCCAAUCCAAGGGUUCACUUGAGGACCAGCGAUGGUUCUUGGGUGCCGGUCACGUCCAAGGUGUAGGCUCGGGGCUUGAAAAAGAGGUACUAAACUUUUAUAAAAAUUAUUGGCAGAGGUUAUAAACUCCAUGAAAUUAUUUCCUGAAAUAGAUAAUGGGGGUUAAAACAAUCGUUAUUUGGCUGCCGCAAAUUGUUGUUGAGAUAGCUUAAAAACUGCCACAAAUUAAUUGUGGCACACAUAACAACAGGAGUCCUUGAAACCCCUAUAACAGUAACUAGCAGGGUUUUAAACCCCAACAAUUUGGAACUUUAACCCCCCAUAGUUUGACCCCUUUUUGUAGUGAUAUCUAAAUAUUUUAAAGCGUAAAACUUAAAAAAUUUACCUUUGAAUGUGCACAACAGCAAAACUUAUAAUGACUGGAAUUCCUUAGAGUCCUGGAUGUUUUUAGUUGAUAAUACUCUUUGCAUUUACAUACAUCUUGUUCAAUUGAAUGUACAUACAUUACAAAUUGUUGAGACAUGACUAUCAAAUUUUAAAGACCAAAAUACAAUAUUAUAAGUAGAAGAAGAUAAAAUAUGAAUGAGAAAAUGUGAAGUGAAUAACCUCAUAUUUAUUGUUGAAGAAGAGAUGUAGUUUUACAUGAAAAUUUAACUAAUAAAAGAAAUUGUAGUACACCCGUUUAUGAGUGAAAUGUCUUAAAUUAUUUGUGAUGUAUUUUGGGGUGAACAUACGGAGUUAACAUUCGUUUGGUAUAGUUUGUCUAUUUGAGGGCGAACUGUCCGUUUUGAUCUGUGAUUUUAGGGAGGAUCCAUUUAAUAUGUUGUGUUAAUGUAAAUAACUCUAAUUAAUGUUAUGAGAGAGAGAGAGAGAGCGAGAGAGAGAGAAAAUAAAGUAAGAAUAUAACUUCUCACUCUCUUAAGGAAGGUGUAUUUCACUAUUUCUGUCACAUCAACAUAUAUAUGGGCAUCUAUUCCACUUUAAAAUAAUAUAAGGGGUUCAUACGAUCCUCCCAAAAUUAGUGUGUAUAACAAUAAUUUUGAUUGAUGUUUGAGUGGUUUUUAAUCGUUUCCCAAAUUUAUUUGAUUUUAAGAUUUUAGAUAUUAAACUAAUUGUAAAUGAAAAGGUUAAUAAUAUAUAUUCCUCAUCUUCUAUUUUAUAAUUAUUCAGAAAAGUGAAAUUUAAAAAAAUAAUAUGAUAUUCAUGUGUUAUUAUUUGUACAGAAUAAAAAAAGAGUAUUACACGUUGAAUAAAUAAAAACUGAUUGACAUUUGACCCCUACAAAAAAUGUAUGAUGUGCUUAUUUACUUUAUUCAAAUAUCGUAUAUUAUAUAAUUUAAUUAAUGAAGGAUUUAGUGCACCAAAUAUUUAAAGUAUAUUGUUUAUUUUCUUUCCUAUUUUGGAUUUUUCAUUUCCAAAAAAAAAAAAGGACUCCAAAUCAUUUUUUUCAAAAAGAAUUUCAGUUUAAAUUUUAAAAUCUAUGGCCAAAUGAGAGAUUAAUUAGUUAAACUUUAUUCCAAGAAGCAAAAGGUUUUAUAUUUAUAAUUUUUAUUGUAAACUCGUGCUGACGAAUUGAUUGUCUUUUCUAUUAUUUUAAUUUAAAUAAUAAAAUUUAUGUUGUGUGAUGGUGUUUUUCAGUAUUUUGUAUCUUGUUAGGGUAAAUAAUGACGGAGUACUAAUUGAGUAAGGAAGGAGUUAAUAUAAAGUAAAAUAUUAAUGUACUAUACAGUCAAACACUUAAGAAAUUUUUAAUUCCUUGAUAAAAUCUAACUCACUACGAAGAACGGUUCGAGUCUUAGAUCGAAAAUUUUUCUGGGAUGUUACAAUAUCUCCCCCUUGGGAUCAUUCGUCCUCGAAUGACGACUGGACUGGGUAUGGAACGGGUUACUCUUACUAAGGUCUGAGGCUAAUGGUACACUCUCACUAUAUUCAAGCUUAACCUAAAUCCUUAGGUUCAGGUUCUAUACCUCUCUAUAGGGAAUGUCAUCCCAAAACUAAUACUCUUUACCACCACAUUGGGCUCAUAGCAAGAUCCACGUAAUGUUUAACAACACCACAUUCAAGCUUAGUACUCUAACAACUCAAUGGACUCCUACUAACUAACUUCUUCAGAACCAACUAAGGGCUGUCAUUUAACUAUUUCUCAUAGAAAAACCUCAUCUUCUUCUUCCUCCUCAUUAAUAACCUUAGAUAGAAUUAUCACACCAUCAUUAUCACGAUAGGAUCAUCAACCUCAUCUUUCUAACAUCACUUCAUUACUAAAAGGACCUCUAAAAAGAUAUCCCCCAAACUCUUUGGAAUUCAUUACCAUCUUAAUCUCAAACACUUGACUCGAUUUCUCAUCUUUUCAUCUUCCCCUUAGGUCUAAAGCUUACACUGGAAGCUAUGGACAUAUUCCAUCAUCUCUAAACUGGUCUACAAUCAUCUUACUCUAAUACGUGGUAAUACUUAUCUCAUGGCUACUAAACUCUCCAUAAACAGGUACUGAGACCUCUUUCUAAGAUGUUUCUCUUAACCUCUUCCAAUUACAUACCCUCUCGGUACACCUCUUAACGCUUUAGUUACUCUUGUGACUUAGCCACACUUCACUGCCCUUAUCUGAAGGUUAAGGCAUCUCACUAGUACCACUCAUAUCUAUUCCAGCUAACAUCUCAAUUCCUCACUUACUCUAUGUCAAGUCUACCAGAUCAAAUAUAGAGACUAACAUCAUCACCCUCAUGUUCCCAUUAUUUUGAUCAUGACACUCAUCUCAAAUUCAAGCUAAAUGUUUAUUACUGAAGCCGAAUAUCAAUACGAUUGCUCACUUACUAUACUAUACUUCAUUCUUGAUUAGUUCUAUAACCUUCUGAACAUCAUGACCCUCUCAAACAAAUCAUAAGCCUAGAUUAGAUCUAUUACUUUAUAAAUACCCUGCUCUCUUAUUCAACGCAUGAAUUUAGUCUCCUCUAAUACGAUGGCACAUAGACACCAACUCUAUUUUGGUUAACAAAUAUAUACUCUAUCUCAUCUUGACUAGAAACUCUUACUCUACCCACAAGGGAAAUAUCCUCAUGAAUAACUUACUGGGUGCAUGACUAUAGAAAUAUAGCUCUUCAAAACAUUAUCUCCCUUUCUUAAAUUUCUAAACCUCUGCAUACUUUCCUCUAACUCUAGGCUCUUUCACUACUACUGUUCAUGAUCUCGCAACUCAUGUUACCUUUUGGGGUGGAAAUAUUACCCAAGCUCUAAACAUACCUCCUCAUAAGGAUCUCAGCUGAAACAAGGAUUAAGGAAAAGAGUACAACUCAUUUUUAGCUCAAAUGCACGAUUCAUAUAAUCAUAAGUGCAUUCCUCUGAAACUGAACACUUAACUUAUUCUUGGGCUUCUCUUAAGCCCCUCUGGAGUCUCAUGACUUCCUCAAAACUGUACUGACUAUCUAUGAAGCCUCUAACUGAUAAAUAUGGAAGUUGGGACAAGAACAACGACAUCCUGACUAAACUGAAAAGUAAAUGAAAUUCUCCGGAAACAAGGAGGCUCACCAUAGCUAACUCGAACUCCCGGAUGUAUCAACGAAUCUCCUGUUAAUGAUCCCAAAUACAUGUGUCUGCAUCAUGAAAAGAUGCAAGACAAAUGGCUCAGUACGUGGAAUGUACGAGAAUGUAAGGGGAAUUCUAAAACAUAAACAUAAGCUUGAAAUUUGAUAAAAAGGGAAACAUACUGACCUCUUUUCAAACUUACUCAACUCAAGGAAUACUCAAAACUACUCAAACUUACUGAACUCAGAAUAUUAGAUACUCAACUCAAAGAUAUGAUAUUCGACUCUGGGUACUCAACUCGGGAUACUCAACUCAAUAUAAAGCAACAAUACACAUGCAAUAUAUGGAAAGCUUUAUAAAACAGUAAAAGCAACUUGGUUCGUUAAAGAAAAUGCAAUAACAAACUCAACUUUACUUAUAUAAUAAAGUAAUAUAGUUUCUGUGGGAGUUUCUCUAGCCGACAACCACCACCAUGAGCCUAAGUGGUGAUAAAACGUCUUGCCCACGCUGCCAGAACUGUCCUAUACUUUGCCGUAAUAUAGAACGCUUAACUUAGUGGAUCCACUAGCUUAACUUAUGCGAUCAUCUAAAAAGCAUGACCCAUUAAUACCCAUGUUGGUUACAUGGUUUAUGGAGACUUGAGUUAAUAUGAACUCGCAUCCCCAUAUCGGUGCUCAAUACUACUCCCAAAAAUAUACUUAGCUCAUAUGUUUUAAAGAAAUUUAUUUCUUUGGUUUGACAUAAUUACUCAAAACUUCGCUUAAAAGCUCUCUUGGAAUCGAUGUUCCCUUUCUUGCUCAAAACUCUUUUGGAAAUCUCAGUUUCCUCUCAUCUUAAAUGUGAAAGCAUUUACCCUUGGGAAUACUUAGUUCCCAUAUAUCAUUUUAAAGAAAUAAACUUUACUCUUAAUCUUUACUCAACUCAAAGCUUAAGUCUUAAAACAAAGUUAAAACAUUUGUAAAAUACUUCUUAAAGUAUGGUUCAUGCCGAAUUAUGGGCGUGAAUGACUCGAUGCAAAGUUUUCAAUAACCAUAGAUAGAUCUCAAUACUUGGAANNNNNNNNNNNNNNNNNNNNNAUUUCAAGAAUUCUCAACUCAGAGGGUUCAUGCGGAAUUAUGGGCAUGAACUACUCAACUCAAGGACUCAAAUAUACAUCUCAUCUCAAGACUGCUCGACUUAUAGGGUUCAUGCAAAAUUAUGGACAUGUAUAACCCAAAUCAAGGACUUCAUGUCUAAGAUGUAAUAGUCCCAUGAUUAGGAAUAUAAUCUCAAAAAAAAAGAUUAGGAACUCAAUACUCAAGACUUAGAACUUGAAGAUACUACUCCUUUCAAAGAUACUCAACUUAUGAAAUUCAUACGGAAUUUAUGGGCAUGAACAACUCGACUCAAAGGUCUACAUAAAAACAUGGAACUCAUGUAAACGACUCUUCUCAAUCUCAUACUUAGUUACUCAAACUUAGUUCGAAUUGAUAGCUGAUCUCAAAGGAUUCACACUCGAACUCAAAGACUUUCUUGGACUCUACUCUUAACUCUCUCUUGAAUGUGAAUUAUGAAUUCAAGAGUUAUGGUUCAUGAUAUGAAAGAUCNNNNNNNNNNNNNNNNNNNNNNNNNNNNNNNNNNNNNNNNNNNNNNNNNNNNNNNNNNNNNNNNNNNNNNNNNNNNNNNNNNNNNNNNNNNNNNNNNNNNNNNNNNNNNNNNNNNNNNNNNNNNNNNNNNNNNNNNNNNNNNNNNNNNNNNNNNNNNNNNNNNNNNNNNNNNNNNNNNNNNNNNNNNNNNNNNNNNNNNNNNNNNNNNNNNNNNNNNNNNNNNNNNNNNNNNNNNNNNNNNNNNNNNNNNNNNNNNNNNNNNNNNNNNNNNNNNNNNNNNNNNNNNNNNNNNNNNNNNNNNNNNNNNNNNNNNNNNNNNNNNNNNNNNNNNNNNNNNNNNNNNUUUUCUGAUCCUAAAUCACUUUUAAUCUCUUUCUUUUCUCAAAUUUUCCUUAGAUUCAAUUACCCAACCUAAGUACACACUAAUCCACUCAAAACAAUCACUUUCAUCUCAAGAAAAUCAUCAAAACCCCAACAAAACAAGAUUUAGAAUGAACUUCAAGAACACCUAUCAAGAACUUAAAUCCUUCAACUUUUUGAGAAUGAAACUUCGCUGAAAAUAAUAUGUCUGGCGUGUGGGUGAACAAACCCAACACUAUGGAAGCUUACAUACCUCUUAGGGAUCAAACCCAUGGCGACAAUCUGUAAUCUCAUUGCAUCAACUAAAUACACUCCAAGAUUUUAUUUGCUCAAGACUAUCAUGGGGGACGACUUUCAAGUCACAAAUGUUUAUCCGAAGACUGAGAUAGUUUAGAGUAGUUGUUUUAUCUUAUUUCCUUAGGGAUAUGAUGUUUUGCUUUUGUACUUCUGAUGUAAGCUUUUACUAUUUUAUGGAUGCUUCUGAAUUCUCGAUAGAGAAAUAUUAAUAAGUAAUUACUAUUUAAUAUUAUGAAUAUUUGAUAAAAUUGAUGGUUUUUGGAAACAGAUGGUGUAAGUUUUCUUUUAUGUUGUUAAUAUUAAGGUAACUAGUAUACAUACCCGAGCGAUGCGCGAAUAAUAUUUAAAUUAAUCAUUUCACAUUGUGGUCUGAUUUGUCAGAGCACACUCAAUUAUAUUGCAUUAACUAAAAUUUAUCUGCCAUCUUAUUUCUAAUUAUAAUUUAUAUACCCAAUAACACUUUGGAAUGAAUGUUACUCAUGUCUAAGUGAGUGUGUUUGCACAGGCAAAUGAAUCAUUUAUUGAACCUGAGCUCCAUUAAAAAAAUUAGACUCUUCAAUAUUCUUUAUAACUGGUAAUAAGAACACUUAAUUGAUUUUCUAAGUAAGUUAAUU